CCUCCAAAGCCCCCCACCACACCUGAAGUAGCCAGUGAAUUUGAGUCGGAGCAUCCCUUCUUCAAAGUGGUGAUACGGCAAUAUCAUAAGAGACAAAUGGUAAGAUCUGAAGCCUAGUCCACGACUGGCAUAUCUUGAGUUCAAUUUCAAUUGCUAUAAAUCAUGCCUCGAUAUUGUGUUUUCCCAAGUUGAUUUGGUUUGUAUCGGAAACUUAGAUGACAUAAUAUAUUUCUUAAAGUGUCCAUGGAGAAACCUAAUGAUGGAGUAACGUGGAACCAUAAAAAGAUGAAUAAGUAAAGACUGUAACUGGGUCGGGACUGUCCUUUACUGGGAUGCCCCACAAGCUGCUCUAUUCACUAUCCAAGUGAAAGGAUGGACCGUCACUUUAAUGGUAAACUAACUGAAAAUAGCUAUUAAUGGAUAGUCACUUCUUUAAUAAUGCUUUUGAUUGCAGGUUAAGAUGGAUAACUUUCAUAAGCCCCUUAAUGCUUGUUGAUUAAAACUCUUGAACUAGCAAUUAUCGGCAAGAAUAUGCCUCAUGUGCUUCUUCUUUUUCACGUGAGUGUAUUCUUAUGAGAUGUCCUUUUAACAUACAGUGGUUUGUUCAUGCAUGUAUGAAUGGGCAGUAUGUUCCAAAUCAAUUUUCCCAGCAACAUAUUCAAGAAAACAAGGAAAUGGCGACUCUCAGGUUUUCAGAUAGAUCGUGGCCGGUGAAGCUCUUAAGCUAUACGCAUAAUAAAUACCAGGGGGUGUAUUUCUCUGUUGGUUGGAAAGAAUUUGCAAGAGAAACUCAUCUGUGCGUGGGAAAUAUCUGUAUGUUUGAACUCAUUGAUAGUGAUGAUGUUGUCUUUCAAGUCUCCGUUUUUAGUAGUGCUGGUAAGAAUCUGAUUCACAUUGAUUGAGAUGAGCAUUUUCUAAUUUAUUCGGUAGUUGUGAAUCAUGAAAAGUAUACCUUUUAUGUUUCUGUUUUCUUCUUCUAAAGUUUAAAUCAUCACUCACAUAUCUCAUAUUCAUUUUUCACUGUUUCAUGUAUUGGCUAUUCAAAACAUGCACAUGUGCAGAGUGUUCCGGUUAAAUUUGUCAAGCAACAUCUUCACGAAAACAAACAAGUAGCAACUCUUCGGUAUUCGGACAGAUCGUGGCCAGUGAAGCUCAGUAGGAGCCUUGGACAGGCCAGAGGUGCUCCGGCUCUGGCCUUCUCCACCGGUUGGUGUGUAUUCGCAAGAGAAACUGAUCUGCAUGCGGGAAAUGUCUGCUUGUUUGAGCUCAUCGAUAGGGAUGAGACAGUGUUCAAAGUCUCCAUUCUGAGAGGUGCUGGUAAUGACCUGAUUCAUGUUAAUGGAGAUGAGCAUCGGAAGUAUUACCUGAGGCCAUUGCAGCAUCGAAAUGAAAUCAGGGGUUCCUAAUGAUGCCUCCUUAUAUUAAGCAGCGCAGCAGCGAAUCAAUCAAAAGCACUCUUUUCUGCUUUUUGUUCUCCUUUCUUCCUUUUUGUGCUAGUUUCAAUUCUAUGACCACCUUGCUUGGAAAGAACCUCCCAAAUCAGUGAUCUCUAUGGUUUUGCACAGCGGCUCAACCUGACCAGUGGAUCUACAGGACAGUGAAGACAUAAUGCUCUGAUGUAUGUUCAUGGAGUAUUUCUCCUUUUAUAUGUUUUGUCCUUCAAAUAUUAUGGCUUGUCCUCGUCCUCUUCGUUCCCGGAGAGAAUACGAAGUUGUUGCCGAGCAGGAGACUCCUCCUCCAAGUAGUAGCCCUCACUUCUUCAGGAUCAUAUUCUUUGGGAUUGUACUCUCUGACAAGCUAAUUUGCCAGGUUACGAGUUUUGAUCAACACCCUUGAGAGGUUCCUGAAAGUCAUUGAUCUCAAUUAAGCAGCAAUCCAAAGCAUUUUCUUUUAGAAGUGACGUGUCAUUUAGUUUUCCAUACUAUUCAAAAUCAACUUUGGGAAAAAGCACAACACCGAAGCUUCAAUCUGGUCAGCAUGUAAGUAUUUCUAAUGUUCAAAUUAGUGGCGGAAAAUAUCACUAAGAAUUUUGUUUUACACUGACGGUAAAUGGUCUAUUUUUUAUUAUUUUUUCUUUGAUAGUACAAGAGACAAAAGCCUGAAAAGUAGAGUGGUUGGCAAUGGCGAAAAUUUUGCAUACAUGAUCUAAUUCUACAUGCCAUGAUCUAUAUGCCAAAAUAAAGCCUAGCAAUGCAACUCCGGAUUUUAUAAGGAUUUGCACAAGCAAUCAACUUACGUUCUCUUGGACUUUCAACUUUGAACUUGCAACUUUAAACUCCUUGCGAGAAUGGUGUUUGGUGCACUCCCGCAAAAUAAAAUCGAAAUGACAUUAUGUUGGAAAUUUAAGUAAGACCAAUCUGAACACAAUGGGGAUCAUCAUGGAUGGGUCGUAACAUGUACAUAUAUGAAUGUAACCUGUAAACAAUGAGACGAAGGGCGAAUAAGAGACUAAAUAUAAAAAGAGUUGUGGAAAUAGCUUAUUAUCAUGAAAAUAGGUGAUAGUUGGAUAUGAAGAGAAAUGACGGUUGAUCAUGAAAAGUGAUAAUAAUGGGGAUAAGGUACAUAUUCUCAAGAGAUGUAAAUACAACCAAAUCAUACAUUAUUCAAUACUCCUGUUCAAGAAUAGUAGCCUUCUCUUCUUCAUAUUAUUCCCUACUAUUAUUUUCUUUUUUCACAUACAAGUUUGAUAAUAUAUUCAAGGUGAAAUUUCAAGAGAGAAAUUAAGUAAUUCUUGAACUCUUUUUUUUUUUUUUUGGUAGCUAUAGUGUAUAUAUUGGAGGUGUAUUUGUUUUAAAUCAGUAGCAACAAUUGGAGCAAAUAAUACUUUAAAGACAAUCAUCUUUAUCAUGCAUCAAAGGACUAUAUAAACUACUGAUCUAUCUUCAUCAGGGAAUGAAGUUCCCAACAAGAGCACGAUGGGUGAAUGAAUGAAACUGUGUAAUGGAAACUGAGUUAACACAAAAGACUGAGGUUGGUGGGAAUUAAUUUAUAACAAAAGAACCUGCCAACGAGCCUGAUUAUUCGGCCAACGAGCCUGAUUAUUCGGCCAACGAGUUAACAAAGGAUAAAUCGAAAACAAAAACCAAGGGCAGGCAUGCUGGCUUUGUUUUGUCGUUGACAUACUAGGAAGGCAUGACGUUAGAUCACAAUGAAAUUAUAAGACACGAUCGGGGUAUUGUGGAAAAUCAAUCAUCUCAUACCUGGGACGAGCAAAUGAUGGAAGGUUUUCGUUUAUAGCUUGCGGUUUCGCUCUUCUUGAAUCCACAAAAGAGAACAUGCUUCCGAUGCUCUCCUCAAAGCUCUCUCUCUCUCAGUACGAGCAUAAGCUCGGAUGAGUUCUCGGGUUAUGGUGACUGAGAGAGAUGAUACAUAUGAGAACGUAAGAGAACCCUUCUUCUAUGUCUAACGUAUUUUGCUGAAAUUCUUGUCGUGACUUUCCCAGAGGUGAACCAUUGAGGAAAAGUUAAAUAAUUACUAAGCAAACAAGGGUCUCCCAAACCCAUACUAGUUGCAACUUUGGGAUUUUAAUUUAAUCAAUUAAACGUGCAAAUCAAUUUAUUUUGGAGUUGCUACUAAUCUAUUAUGGGUAAAUUGGAAAUCUAAAUACAAUGUAGGGGAACAUUUCACUUAUGCAAGUAAGAGAUUUCAUGGAUAAGAGGGCCUAGUUGUGCUAGAUAAAUCUACCAUCAUCUUAGUACCUUUUCUCUUUAUUUCAAAAUGUUUGGUGAGUAGUCUUGAUCAAUUUAAUCCUAAAUCACUAAUCAUGAGGGUGUGCAUACACUAAUUUAGCACUCAAUAAAUUACAAUAAGAAAUAAAUCACUAGAAUAGGAUAAAAAAGACACCCGAACCCCUAGAGUGCCAAAAUUUGGUACAAAAGGAUACUUAGGUGCCAAAAGUUACAAAAGUGACACUUAAGUGUUAAAAUCGGAGCAAAAUGGAUCACUUAAGUGCCACCGGCGAAAAAAUCCGACCAAAACGCUAACGUGGCAAUUUUUCGGCGAGCUGCACGCAAAACAACGUCGUUUUGGUAUAAUUUGAAUUUUAAUAUAUUAAUUAAAUUAAAUUUAAUUUUUAAAAAUUAAUUAAUUAAUUAAAAAAAAAAAAAGGAGGGAGGCAGCCGGCGGUUGAGGGCUCAGCCCUUGCCGUCGUCACUACCGCCUCCCCUCCGUCGCCAGGGAGGUUGGGGAGUGUUGGUCGAGGCCACCAAGCCCGGGCCAAGGGUCGGCGGCCCCAGCCGACCGGCGACAAGGGCUUGCAUGCCCUCGCCCGGCCGACCCAAAGGUCGCUGCCUGCUGGGGGGUCGCCCCAACCUCCUCCGCCUUUGCCGGGUCGAACCCUACCUUUGGUGGUGACCACCGAUCGGAGAGAUUUACUUGCGAGGAGUGCAGGACGAGCGACACCGUGAACGAUUGAGUUGUCAAACAACCUUGACCACUAGAGAUGGGUGGCGGCAAAGGCAGUGGAGGUGGCGGUGAAUUGGAUUCGUGGAGCGAAGGGCAGAGUAAAUCGUGGCGUUUCGGAUUCGUGGAGAGAAGGGCAGAGUAAAUCGUGGCGUUUUGAGAGUGCGUUUGUGUCUCUAUGAUAGCUACUGAGCUAGAUUCAUUUUUAAGGGAUUGAUAAAUGGGUUUUAAAUGGGUACAGAUUAGAUUCAUUUAACACUUAUAUAUUUUAAUCUCUUUAUUUUAAAAAUCCAUUACGGGAUGCUUUGAGAAAUAAAACUUUACUCAUUAAUGACCUUUUAAACAAGUAUGGGUCGAUAAAUGAGUCGUGUACUUAUUUUGACACCUCUGCAUCCACGUUACGAGAGGCUCGUGUCUGAUUAACACGUCCCAUGAAUCUUUGCCUUGAUCACCGAGCCAUCUGAUUUUGCCAGGACGAUGGCCUCAAGAACGAAGGCUCCGCGCUCCUGUAGUUGAACUUGAAACCCCCCAAACCAUCUUCUUCUCCUCCUCCUUCUUCUUCUGUGAGGAGCCAGGGGACACUGCUGUCUAUGGCUUCUCGCAACAGUCGUCGUCGUCGCCGGAGAGAAGAUGGAGCUGUCGAGCGGGAGGUCGCGACCGGCCCUCGUCUUGGGAGCCGUUGCUUCUUCAAGAUCAUACUCUCCAACGCGCUGGAAUCUGGAAAGCUUGUGAGUUGAUCACAUCUUCAUCAGUGUUUUAAGAGUUUCUCGUGCUCUGUGCUGUGUACCCGUCAGCCCGGAAAAACUGGUUUGUGGGUUCGGUUUGGAAUGAACUUUUCGCUUCCAGCUUAAAAAAGAACAAGAGGGUAUUGUCUAACAUGGCCUGUUUAUCAAACAAAAUUUAUCCUUUUUGCAUGCUUCGAUGAUAUGAAUGUCUUCAUCGGAUGUGCGACCGGUUGUCCUGAACCGUGGUGAUGGUCGGCCUCAUGUCCUCUUGGCUGCUGCCAUUUCUUCUGCUAAAGUUUGCUUUUUUGUAUAUUCGUUUUACGAUUUGGGUCGAAAUGGGUUUUCGGAAUAUAGUGUGAUGUGCAUGGUUCAGGUUUCCACAACAUCCGUUGGACAUUGCUAUUGGGAGAGUAAUUUCUUGGGUACACAGAUUUAACUGACCAAAAAUGAUAUGACAAAGUAAUGGGCUUUUUCUAAUGUGCCUUGCUUCCUUGGGCAGCCGAUCUCAGUCGUGGGAGAAAAGAAAAAUCGAUGUCAGCUGUUGUAUGACAAAACGUCUUGGCCAUGGGAUCAAGAUAAUUUUAUGUGAACUGUUGGAUUUGGCACGGCAAUUUCACUAAUCUUAGUAUAAACGAAUUUUGGAUUCUUGAGCUUUAUGCUUGUCCAAUGAAGCAACUAGAACUACAAAUCAAUCCACGACCAUUCUGAAGUACAAUUGUGGAAACUGAUCAUUCAUCCAUGUUGCAGAAUUUAAAGUUUCUUAGUUUUCUUCCUAUUCUCUGCACUUCAAUUUAACUAUGUUGAGUUAUUAUCAUGGACCUUUAACUUUAAUUUUUUACAUAAUAGGGAAUUCCAAAGAAUUUCUUGAGAAGAUGUGGAAAGGAUCUCUCAAACUCGGUGCUUCUUAAGGUUCCAGGCGGUUCAGCCUGGACUAUUGAACUAGAAAAGUGUAACAAUGACUUGGUUUCGUUGUGGAAAGGUUGGCGGGAAUUCAUGGAGCAUUACUCUAUUGGUCAUGGUCACCUCAUCGUUUUCAAAUAUAAAGGGAACUCUACUUUUCAUGUAAUAAUAUUCGAUAAGAGUGCUUCAGAGAUAGAUUAUUCGUCGAGCAGCAGCAAAAUAUCGUACCUUGGGAGCAAAUUUCCCUCGCCAAAAUCAGAAGACGUCCUAGGGGCAGAAGAUCUGCAGGAUUCCACACCCCGUCAAAGAAUGAGGGUUGAACCACAUUUGCCUUAUUCUCAGCUAAGUAUGAGCUACCCACCACAAGGUUUGGAAGGUGUGACUCUUCAUUGUUUAAGUCACGUUUCUUCUUACAUCACUCUCUUUUGUUAGUUGUUUUCCAAAAAUACUAGAAAACCUUUUUAUAAAAGUUUUUUCCUGAGCCAGUUUUUCUUGGUCCUACACCUCUGAGUUCUCUCACCGCUCCUGAAUUAUCCAAUGAGUUUUAUUCAGAGAAUCCCUUCUUCAAACUGGUGAUAAAUCAGGGUGGAAAAAUGGUAAGAUCUCGAGUUUCAUCCACUGCUGGCAUAUCUCAAUUUCAAUUAGGAUUGCUUGCUAAAUCUUGCCUCAGUAUUGUGUUUUCCCAAGUUGAUUUGGUCUGUAACUGAUACAANNNNNNNNNNNNNNNNNNNNNNNNNNNNNNNNNNNNNNNNNNNNNNNNNNNNNNNNNNNNNNNNNNNNNNNNNNNNNNNNNNNNNNNNNNNNNNNNNNNNUGCAUAAGCUGCUCUAAUCACUAUCCAAGUGAAAGGAUGGACAGCACUUGAACGGAAAACUGUCUGUUAAUGGACGUUCACUUUUGGAGAAUUCUUUAGAUUGCAGGUUAAGAUUGAUGAUGCUUUAGAUUGCAGGUUAAGAUCAUUAAAUUUUGUGAGCCUCUUAAAGUUGUUGACUGAAACUCCUGAAACUAGCAAAUAUCACCAUGAUUAUUCUUUUUUUUUUUUGGUAAUUGUCACCAUGAUUAUUCUUCUUGUGUGCUUUUUCCUUAAAAUUGUGUGCUGACUCGUUUGUACAAACAUGUACAUAUGUGCAGAAUAUUCCUGUUGGUUUUGCCAGGCAAUAUAUUCAAGCAGACAGGGAAAUGGCGACGCUUAGGUUUUCAGACGGAUCGUGGCUGGUGAAGCUUUUAAGAAAUUUGCAGGAUCACCAGGCAUGCUUCUCAUUCCACUUGAACAAUUUCAUAUCUUGGUUGUUUAAACAUGUACAUGGCCAGAGUAUUCCGCGUGGAUUCAUCAAGCAACAUAUCCAGGAAAAGCCAAGAGCAACUCUUAGGUACUCAGACAGAUCAUGGUCAGUGAAGCUCAUCAGGAACAACAGACACCUCAAAGGGGUUCUGCUCUGUCCUUCUCUGCUGGUUGGCGUGCAUUUGCAAGAGAAACUCAUCUGCGUGCAGGAAAUGUCUGCUUGUUUGAGCUAAUUGAUCGGGUUGAUAUUGUCUUCAAAGUCUCCAUUUUGAGUGGUGCCAGUAAGGACUUGAUAUACGUUGUUGAAAAUGAGUACUUGAAGUGUAUGCCUCCCUUAUUUGGUUGUGCUGCAUAACUGACGAGUACACUUUCUUUUCUAUGUUAAUUUAAAAUAUAGUGAUUUGUCUCCCUUAUUUGGUUGUGCUGCAUAACUGAUGAGUACACUUUAUUUUCUAUGUUAAUUUAAAAUAUAGUAAUUUGUCUCUUUCGAUGUGAAGAGCACGAAUAAUAUUUUCAUUCAAAUUGUCUGACUUUUUGAUUUCAUGGUAAUCAUUAUUUCCAAUUGAUUUAUAUAUCUUAUUAUCGUAGGUCAAUUGAAGAAACGCUUGCGCUAAAGUCCAUUAAAGUUUCCAUUUUUAGUUCAGCGCAGGAACAAACUGUCUAAAUGCAGAGUGAAUCAUAAUGCGCCCGUUUUUCGUGGUCCUACACCUCCAAAGCCCUUCACUUCUCCUGAAUGAGCCAGUGUGUUUGAGUCAGAGCAUCCCUUCUUCGAAGUGGUAAUACAGCAAUGGCAUCAGAAUCAAUUGGUAAGAUCUGAAGCCUAAUCGAUCGGUGGCAUAAUUCAAGUUCAAUUACGAUUGCUGUAAAUCAUGCCUUGAUAUUGUGUUUUCCCAAGUUGAUUUGGUUUGUAUUGGAAACUUAACGACGGAUUAUAUUUCUCAAGUGUCCAUGGGGAAUCCUAAUGAUGGAGUAACAUGGAACUAGGAAAAGAUGAAUAAGUAAAGACAGUAUUUGGGUUGGGAGUGUAAUUGAAUAUUCCUCACAAGCCACUCUAUUCACUAUCCAAGUGAAAGGAUGGACAGGCACUUGAAUGGUAAACUAACUGAAAAUAGCUUUUAAUGGACAGUCCUUUCUUAAAUAAUGCUUUGGAUUGCAGGUUAAGAUCGGUGACUUUCAUAAGCCCCUUAAGGCUGGUGAUUAAAACUCUUGAACUACAUCAUGUGCUUUUUUCCUUGUCUUUCACGUGAGUGUAUGUUUAUGUGAUGUCCUUUUAACAUACAGUGGUUUGUUCCCACAUGUAUGAAUGUGCAGUACGUUCCCCGUCAAUUUGCCAAGCAACACAUUCAAGAAAACAGGGAAAUGGCGACUCUUAGGUUUUCAGACAGAUUGUGGCUGGUGAAGCUCAAAAGCUAUUCGCAUGGAAACCUGAUGUUCUUCUCUGCUGGUUGGCCUGCAUUUGCAAGAGAAACUCAUCUGUGUGUGGGAAAUAUCUGUGUGUUUGAGCUCAUUGAUAGGGAUGAUGGUGUAUUCCAAGUCUCUAUUUUCAGUAGUGCCGGUAAGGAUCCAAUUCACAUUGAUUGAGAUGAACAUAGGAAGGGUUACUUUAAGUCAUUUGCUGCAUUAAUAUGAAUUCAGCAUUCCCAAUUAGCCUCUUUUAUUCGGUAGUUGCAAAUCAAUGAAAAGUAGACUUUUUCAUGUUUCUGUUUUCUUCUUUUCUGCACUAGUCUCAAUUCGAUUUUCAUGAUGACAGUGAUUUUCAAUCUAUGCUGGAUCUUUUCAUAGCAAGUCAAUUAAAGAGACAUUACACCAAUUCUAUUAAAUUUCUCAUUGUUUUACUGCAGGUGGGAUAGAGAAAUCGACAUGCCGACUGGGCUGUUCUGAGCUGGAUUUUCAUGGUCCUACACUAUCAAGGCCUCUCACGUCUCACGAAUUUGCUAGCAAUAUUGAUUUGGAGCAUCCCUUUUUCAAAAAGGUGACCCCGCAAAGUUAUUUCAAUCGCCUGGUAAGAUCUAAAGCUUAAAUCAUCACUCACAUAUCUCAUAUUCGUUUUUCACCGUUUUCAUGUAUUGGCUAUUAAAAACAUGCACAUGUGCAGAGUGUUCCGGUUGGAUUUUUCAAGCAACAUCUUCAGGAAAACAAACAAAUAGCGACUCUUCGGUAUUUGGACAGAUCGUGGCCAGUGAAGCUCAUUAGGAGCCUUGGACAGGCCAGAGGUGCUCUGGCUCUGGCCUUCUCCACCGGUUGGUGUGCAUUCGCAAGAGAAACUGAUCUGCGUGCAGGAAAUGUCUGCUUGUUUGAGCUCAUCGAUUUGGAUAAGACAGUGUUCAAAGUCUCCAUUUCGAGUGGCGCUGGUAAUGACCUGAUUCACGUUGACCGAGAUGAGCAUCAGAAGUAUUACCUGAGGCCAUUGCAGCAUCGAAAUGAAAUCAGGGGUUCCUAGUAAUGCCUCCUUUUAUUAAGCAGCGCAGCAGCGAAUCAAUUAAAAUCACUCUUUUCUGCUCUUUGUUCUCUUCUUUCUUCCCUUUUGUGCUAGUUUCAAUUCUAUGACUACCUUGCUCGGAAAGAACCUCUCAAAUCGGUGAAUCUUUAUGGUUUUGCACAGCGGCUCAACGUGACCAGUAGAUCUACAAGACGGUGAAAGACGUAAUGCUCUGAUGUAUGUUCAUGGAGUACUUCUGCUUUUAUAUGUUUUGUCUUUGAAAUAUUAUGGCUUGUCCUCGUCCUCUUCGUUCCGGAGAGAAGACGAAGUUGUUGCCGAGCAGGAGACUCGUCCAAGUAGUAGUCCUCACUUCUUGAGGAUCAUAUUCUUGGGGAUCAUACUCUCUGACAUGCUAAUUUGCUAGGUCAGGAGUUUUGAUCAAUACCCUUGAGAGGCUCCUGAAAGUCAUUGAUCUCAAUUAAGCAGCAAUCCAAAGCAUUUUCUUUUAGAAGUGACAUGUCAUUUAGUUUUCUAUACAAACCAAAAUCAACUUUGGGAAAAACAAAAUACCGGAGAUUCAAUCUGGUCAGCUUGUAAGUAAUUCUAAUGUUCAAAUUAGUGGCGGAAAAUAUCACUAUAAAUUUUGUUUUACACCGACGGUAAAUGGUUUAUUGUUCUUUUUCUUUUUCUUUGGUGGUACAAGAGACAAAAGCCUGAUAAGUGGAGCGGUUGGCAAUGGCGAAAAUUUUGUAUACAUGAUCUAAUUCUACAUGCCAUGAUCUAUAUGCCAAAAUAAGCCUAGCAACGCAACUACGGAUUUUAUAAGGAUUCGCACAAGCAAUCAACCUACGUUCUCUUGGACUUUCAACCUUAAAUUCCUUGCAAGAAUGGUGUUUGGUGCAUUUUGGGAAAAUAAAAUCGAAAUAACAUUUCGUUGGAAAUUUAAGUAGAACCAAUCUGAACACAACGAGGAUCAUCAUGGAUGGGUCGUGGCAUGUACAUAUAUGAGUAACCUAUAAACAAUGAGAGGAAAGGCGAAUAAGGGGUUAAAUAUAUAUAAAAAAAAAAAGUUGUUGAAAUGGUUUAUUAUCAUGAAAAUAGGUGAUAGCUGGAUAUGAAGAGGAAUGAUGGUUAAUCAUGAAAAGUGAUAAUAAUAGGGAUAAGGAACAUAUUUCCAAAGAGAUGUGGUGAUUGGCCAUAUAUAAAUACGACCAAAUCAUACAUUGUUCAACACUCCUGUUAAAAUAUUAUUAGCCUUCUCUUCUUCAUAACUCUCUCUUCUUCAUAUUAUUGUCUAAUAUUAUUUUCUUUUUUCACACACAAGUUUGACAAUACAUUCAAGAUGAAAUUCCAACAGAGAAAUUGAAUAUUGCUGAACUUGUUUUUUUGUGGCUUUAGUAUAUAUCUUGGAGGUAUAUUUGUUUUAAAUCAACAACAACAAUAGUAGGAGCAAAUAAUACUUUAAGGACGGUCAUCUUCAUCACGCAUCAAAGAACUAUAUAAAAUACUGAUCUAUCUUCAUCGGGGAACGAAUUUCCCAACAAGAGCAUGACGGAUAAAUGAAUCAAACUGUCUAAUGGAAACUGAGUCAACACAAAAGACUGAGAUUCAUGGGAAUUAAUUUCGAACAAAAGAACCUGAUAAUUUGGCCAGUGACUUAUAAAUCGAAAACAAAAACCAAGGAUAGGCAUGCUGGCUUUGUUUUGCCGUUGACAUACUAGGAAGGCAUUGUGACAUCCUCAAUUUUCAAUCUUGUUCAAUUGGAUAAAUCGGGCAUUUUAUCAACGCGCCGAUAGUGCUAUUCUCUGAGUCGAUCACUCAUGAAAUAACUAGACUAUCUGGGGAAGUCAUUAUGGGAUUUUAACGCAAUAAACUUGAGAAUUCGAUCAGGAAUCGACUGCUCGAUCGUACUAAUUUGCAAAGGUCAUUACGGUACAAUUAAAAAUCAUUUAGAGACCGAAGAUAGGUCGACUCGACUGAGGUGUGUGAUUGAGUGUGGGUGAUUCCACCUGAUUGUAAAAUUAUCGUCGAUUGGCACUAGACCAAUUUUAUGUCGUUUUAGGUUACCUGUGUCUAUAAUUGAAAUAUCGAGAUUUUCACGGCAACCGAGAAUCGCCAAUGAGUCAAAGAUAUACGUUGUGGCUCGAAAAUAAUUGACCACGAAUCAAUUGCACUAAAAAUUCCUAAAAACUACCCGAUAGGUUAGGUCACGCUAAAAUCGCGUCAGAUUGAAAUUAACCGCGAAUUUGAACCCGAUUUUAGAAAUUGAAAGUUUUGUUAUGUCACGAUUUAUUUUAGGAACGCCUACUCAUCAUUCAAAGAAUUUUUGGAGAUUCUGGGAUUUUUACGAAAAAUCAAUUAGGACGAUUCGGAAAACGAAUGGAAAUUUGGAUUGGCCGAAUUGAAGGGAUUUUUGACUUGCAAACCGAACCUUUGGGUGUUGGGGACUUGUGAAAUUUUUGUGGGUAUUUUCUUCAUCAAAAUUUGGAGAUUAGGUGAAGAAAUUGAAGUUUGUUUUGUGAAAUUCGUAUGCUAAUAUAAGGGCUGCUUUUUUGGCUUCAAAAUGGAUUAUUUUUAGGAAUUUAUCUUCAAGAAAGUACUAGGAGACCAUAGGGUAUGUUUGAGGGCUUUAAGGGGACCAAGCAUUCAAUUAUUUGGAUAGUCUUUGUUGACUAUUCUUCCUCUCCCUCAAGCUUCCGUCGCACGCCCAUCCGCCGCCCAUCUCCUUCGCGUGAACUUCUGGCUUCACUUUCAUUUCCUCUGCUAUUCUUCUUUUUAUUUCACCGAAGCCAGCACCUAUUCACUUCACCCCUCACUUCCACGUGCUGCUCCUCCAUCGUCACCCCACGCUCGAUUCUCCACCAACCGUUGCCCCCCAUCAUUUCCUUUCAUUUAUGCUGCAUCAUCAUCCGUAGCCCCAUCAUCCCCAUCCCACCGAAGCUGCUUCUUGCAGCUACCGUCCAAGCCACUUCGCCAAGUCAACCACGAAGCCUCCACCGCCCAGCAGCGUCCACCGAGUGAAGUGUCUUCAGCCGGCUCACGCCCGGUCAACAACAACACCCACAGAAGCUCCAUCGUUUACUCCAUCUCCACCAAUAUUCGUCUGCCACCGAACCAAGUCAUCCAUCAUCCGUGAGUAGCCCAUCAGCCGAGGGAAAACCGAGCAGCAAUUCUUCAGCUCAAACAGCGAGCUUGCGGGCCAUUUUUCGAGCCCGGUCAGUGCCCCGUUGACGUCGUCACUUUGGAGAGUAUCGAUCGUCAUUGCGACCCUGUCGUUUUGAUCUGAGUGGAUCUCGAAUCAAGUGAGUUAUCUCACUAAACCUUGAUUAGUAGGUUAAUUAUGCUUAGAGAGUAAUUAGAUUAGGUUAAUUAAGGUUUAGGUGGUUAGUUAGAUUAGAUUAGUUAUUUAAAUAUCCUAUUUUGCAUGUUAGGUUGUUAAUUUAGGUUAAUUAGGGCCUAGGUAGAUUGUAUUAAUUAUCUAGAUUGGUUCGGGAAUUUUCCGGGACCGACUCGGUAUUUAAUUUUGUAAUUUCGGCCUAGGUUAGCUAUUUUUGGUAUUUAAUUGAUUUAUUUAAUUAAUUUGUAAUUAUUUAAUUAUUAAAUAUUUUCCGGAAAUUAGACCGGAAUAGCCGAUGACUGGAAUUUCGUGCUGAUUGCAUGAUGUGUUUAGAUUUCGCAAUUGGAUGUUAAUUUGUGCAAACUGAGUGCUGAUUGAAUUUUUGGUAAUUUAUUCCAAAAAUUGUGAAUUUCAAUAUUUAUUCAGAAAUUACCAGGUGUUUUUAAUAUGAAGAAAAUAGGCUUGGAUUACUAUUUUAUGGGAGACAUUUGAGUGAAAGGUAUGGUGUCCUGGGUCGAGAUUAUUUGAUCGUGUGUUGAUUAAUGAAAACUAGUCUCGAGCUUUUAAGCCGGACAUUACCCUAUAUGGGAUAUUUAUUUUUUGGAUCGCGGGUCGCAGUAGAUUUUGGACCUACGCCCCUUCGGGGAAGCCGUCUAUUAAGAUAUGGACGUCGUCAUGCUCAAUGGAGGUGAGACGAUGCCUGGCUAUGCCAGAAGGACAUUGAACUUAUGAGUAGGUGACUCGGGUCGCGGUAGAUUCUGGACCUAGGCCCCUUCGGGAAAGCCGUCUAUUAAGAUAUAGAUGUGGUCGUGCUCAAUGGUGGUGAUGCGAUACCCGGCUGUGCCAGUAGACACUGAACCUAUGAGUAGGUGGGGCUUAUUAUUUCGCUUCCGCAUGUGCAAUUAAAAAUGAAAGUGUAACAUCCCGGGUCUCCACUGUACACAUAUUAUCCGCUUUGGACACUAAGUCCUCACGGUUUUGUUUCUCUCGGGAUAGCCUAUACUACCCCAAGAAAACGUGUAUGUACAAUUAGAGGGACCCAAGCCUUAUAAGCUAGCCCAGGACUCUCUCCUUAGGCGAUGUGGGACAAGAGAGGGACCCCUUCCUUGCGCACGUCCGAGACCACCGCUCGGGCCGUUACACUCUCCACCUCUUGGCAGAAGAGCGUUCUCGCUGUGGCCCCACACGCGGUCGGGAGUCAGAACAACAUUCUUGCUGUGGCCCCACACGCAGUCGGGAGUCGGCUCUGAUGUGCAGUCGGGAGUCGGCUCUGAUACCACUUGUAACAUCCCGGGUCUCCAUUGUACACAUAUUGUCCACUUUGGACACUAAGUCCUCACGGUUUUGUUUCUCUCGGGGCAACGGUUUUGUUUCUCUCGGGGCAGCCCAUACUACUCCAAGAAAAUGCGUAUGUACAGUUAGAGGGACUCAAGCCUUAUAAGCUAGCCUAGAACUCUCUCCCUAGGCGAUGUGGGACAAGAGAGGGACCCCUUCCUUGCCCAUGUCCGAGAACUGCCGCUCGGGCCGUCACAGAAAGGGUCAGCGACUAGUCCUGGGAAGUUGCAAUUAUAUCGACUAGAGCGGGAUGGGCAUGCACUCGAGGAUCGGGACGUGACAGGCAUGACGUUAGAUCACAAUGAAAUUAUAACACACGAUCGGGGUAUUGUGGAAAAUCAAUCAUCUCAGACCUAGGACGAGCAAAUGAUGGAAGGUUUUCCUUGAUAGCUAGCGGUUUUGCUCUUCUUGAAUCCACCAAAGAGAACANNNNNNNNNNNNNNNNNNNNNNNNNNNNNNNNNNNNNNNNNNNNNNNNNNNNNNNNNNNNNNNNNNNNNNNNNNNNNNNNNNNNNNNNNNNNNNNNNNNNAUUUUUAGCUUUAUAAGGUUUCGAUUUGUUUGCCGCAACAAAUGCUGGCUUAACUUGAGUAAUAUGAAUUUGAUUGACUUGUUAUUGCAAUCGACGCAUUCUUUUUUUUCUUUUGAACCCUUCCUUUCUAGGUACGCGUCAUAUUACCCCCUUGGAUUUCCUCUGCUUCAUACCAUUGACCCUCUGACGGGUUAUAAGGUACUUUCAGAGUUCGUCGGUGAUGUGAUUGUACCAUAUGACCAUACUCCCUAGUGUCAUCGCGAAAUUCCUCCCCCCAUCUGGAAGGAACGAUUUUAUAGGCAUAGGAAGAGUAAGAUGGAGGAGGCGCAUGACUCACAUAAUAAUCAAACUUUCCAUUGGGCUCCCCCAAUGUGCCUAUGGUAGAUCCUUUUCAUCAUAUCUCUAUUGAAUGACUUAUAGGGCUUUCGAUGAGGAGGAACAUUUUCUGCAUGAAAAAUUUCAUCCUCGUCACGAGUCCCAUGAUAUGGUCUGGAGGUUCUUGCACUUUGGUACUUGCUAAAGGUACGAUCUUCUAACGGGUACUCCUGUUCUCUUAGAUAUCAAUGAUCUUUGUUUUUAAUUAUGUGCCUAGAAUGAGUGCAAAUAUGUGGCCAUCUACAUCUUUUACCUCGAGGCCUUAUUGAAACCAUACCAGUCAUUACAGGGAAUGGGUCUAUGUCCACCUCCAUCGAGGAUUUCCUUUUGUCGUCGGCAGACUUUAUUUUCCCCUGUCAAAUUACCUCUUGGAUAUUCUUCUUUAGGACCACGCAAUCAAAGGAGCUGUGGCUCCACAAGUGAUGCCAUUUGCAAUACUUCUUUCCCACUAAUUCAUCUUUAGCGGGUAAAUUCUAUACUACUGUUAACUUUAUUUGACCAUCUGCCAAUAACAUGUCAAAGAUUUCUUCGGUCCCAGUAACAUCGAAGGAAUAGUAAAUUGAUUUUUUGGCUUAGCCAUGAUAUUCGACUUUUCCUUUGUCUUAGUCGGCUUUAAUGGUUGGCAUGUAUAUGGUUUUUCAAUGACCAUUUUGGUAACAACCAUUUCUACUAUCUCCAUUUGUUCCUCAUCGAAGUCAUUUGUCUCGACAAAGCUUACGUCUCCCCUUCAACCAUGUCUUUUAUCCUUUUUUUCAAGCAAGUUUUCAUGUUUGACUUACCAUUCUUUCCCAAAUUUCAAACUUCAGGCCAUUGAAGGCUAACUCUACAAAUGUUUUCUUAGGCACGAGGACUAAGCAUUUGAUUUUCGCCCUUUUGUACCUUGCUCUAAACUACUCAAUCGUUUCAUUUCCCAUUUGUCUCAUAGUUGACAAGUCAACGACUGAUAAGUCUAGGAUAGCUCGCUGGAAUUGGGUGUGGAAAAGUCGUUCCAUUUGCUCCCGUGAGAAAAUUGAAUUGGUUGGUAGUGUGGUGCACCAUGUGAAAACUGUCUUUGACAGUGGGAGUGGAACAAACACAACUUCCAAUGAUCACCAUGUGUAGCAUCACCACAGAGGGCUAAGAAGCAAGUAAUGUGUUCGAAAGUUGAUUGAUAAUCUUUUCCGGUGAAUAGCGUAAAUUCUAGCAUUUUAAAGCCUCUUCGAUAUGGGACUGUGUCCAUCCAAUAUGGGUAAAGUUUUCUAUAGGCAUUGCCCAUGUAUCCAGGAUCACCAACAUAAUUCCUUCCAGCAGGUUUGAUAGGCAUCUAAUUCUGCCAUAGGAUGGCUAUGGGUAACCUUACCAUCUGUUGGGUGCUAUACUCGGUAUGCAACAUCGGGUUCGCAUUCUACUGCGGGAACUGAUAUGCUAGCUGUUGUGGAGCUUGAUACAUUGGCUGCUGCGGAGCCUGGUAUAUUGGUUGUGGCAGAGGUUGAUACACUGAUUGCUAUAGAAUUUGAUAAAAUCGAGGAACGUUUUGGUUGGCUGGUGGAUUGUUUAGUUUUAGGUUAUGAUGUAUGGAUUGAAACUCUUGAUGAGGAAUGUGUGAUUAGUGUUUGGGAAAAUUGUUCCUGCCCCCUAGCUGGAGCUAAACAUCGUUCCUUCAUUGUCAAUAGCUACAUGUGUAAGUGGCAUAUUAGGCUGAUCGUGGGCAUGACACUAGGGACACUGGUAAUGUACUGGGCAUUCUUGUUUGUUGACACAUAAAUUUUGGCAAUCUGUUUAGUCAUUUAUUACAUUAAAAAUUAUGGGUUAAUUUUAUCCCUGAAAAAAUAGUUAAUUGCAUAGCAUAUGAUUUUAGGUGCAUUUAUUUUUAAUUUACAUUUACAUUGGGCUGGUGACGGAUGGAUUCGAAUCGAUGCUUCAGAAACUUUAAUUUGAUGAGUUGGACUAAGCUCACGAAAAGAACAAAUUGGCCCAAUCUCGUAUCCUUGGGGAGAUUUUACGAAUUUAUUUUUGUGAUAUUUCAAUUCAAAAGAAAAUAUUCGUUUGGAAAGACAAAUAUUGCGUUUGGAAAAGAAAUUUUUGUGGAUAUGAUUUUGGAAAAUUUAAAACCCUAAUCCGUGGCUUAUAAAUAGAUUAAUAGUUUUGAGGAGGUCACACAUAUCGAUACACACGGCCGUAUGUAGGGGGCUUCUCUCGAGUUUUAGAUAAAAAAAAAUUGAACACGAAAAGAGAAGAAAAACUUUGGUUUUCUCCGUUCGUUCCUUUGAAAGAAAAAGAAAAGCUUUCCUUACCAAAAAAAAAGAAAAAGAAAAGCUUUUUUGGGAGAAAAGUCAACAGCAAAAGAAGCUUUUGCUUCUGCAGAUAGAGAAAAAGGCAGCAGAAGGUAUACAGAGAGGGACGUGGGUGUGACGUCCAGCAACAGGGAAAGGAGGGAAAAAGCAAUCACUAUUCAUCUUCUUCCCCCUGCCCGCAUCUGCCGUUCGCAAGUCUAGCACCGCCGCUCCGCCGGUCUCGCCACGACGCACAGCCCCAUCGCCGGCACCCGCCGCUGCUACCCGCCUCUGCAGCAGAUCUACGUCCGUCUCCGCCAGCCUCCACCAGCGACCGACGCUGCUCCUGUCCGUGAAGCCCACGAAGCCGCCGUGUCGGCACCACCUCCGCCAGCCACCUCCGCGCCUCCGCCGCUGUCGCCCCGCCAGUCGCCGGAGAUCCUCCUCACCGCGAACCCGUGCCGGUCCACGACGUCGCUUCUGCUCGCGUUCCCAGAAGCCGCAAGCCACCGGUCCCCGCCGCGCUCCGCCUCGCUUCCAGCCCGCGCCGGCCCGCGACACCAUCGCUGUCCCGAUCUCACGCCCGGGAGCCCCGACGACGGCAGAUCUGAGCCGGUCGUCGCUCCACCGUCGAGCAAGCCCCGUACCACGCAUCCGCGCUGCUGUACCGUCCGCGACCGCCCGGUGCCCGACAACCUUGUCUGUUGCGCCAUCGCCGUGACCCCCGAGCGACGCUGCUGCAGCACCCGACGUCCGGCGUCCCCCCGCUUGCUGCUGGUCCUCCUCGCCGGAGCUCCGACGACUGCAACCUUCGACCGAGCACCCACCACGAGCUGCCAACGUCGUUUGGAAAGCAAAAGGAAAAAAUGAAAAAAUCAAAUUAGGUAGAUUUACUUUAUUUUAUUAGGCAGAUUUAUUUUAUCUUGUUUUAUUUUUUGCAUAUUGCUUUCUUCAUUUGAAAUAUUUCUCCAUGCAUAAUUGAAAAUCUCGACAUACCACCUAAUUCGCAAUCACGCAUGGAUUUUUUACUCCAUCUAUAAGGCUUUAAUCAAGCAGGAAUAAAAUGGAUAUUUUGAUCUUUAAGGCUUAAAAUCAAUUUAUCGAUUUUAUUAGCGAGAUAUUGUCCAUUGAUUUGAACGAUGUAUGAUAUCUUUGAUGAUUUUGAAUUGUCCGUCUUAACUUGAUUGCUUUAUUUAUUUUGAAAUAUGUUUGGGUUAGAAUGUUGCAUGCUUUAGGUUAUUUGCAUAUUUAGACUAAGCAUUUUUAUUUAUCAUGAAUUGUCGAAAAAUAAAUAAAUUUAGGAUGUUAGAUUUUUGUUUCAUUAGCUUAAAUUGCAUGUUUAAUUAUUUGACUUUUUUUUCGAAAUUAAUUAAAAAAAUAAAAAUCAUCAUGCAUAUAUCAUGUAAAAUUAUGACAUCCUUUGUACGUCAUUGCAUAUUAGGAUAAAUUGCAUAUUUCAUUUUAAAUUUAGAUUUUUAGAUAGAUUGCAUUUUAGUUAGGGAUUUCUAAGUUAGGGUAACAUCACUUAACUUCAUUCCUAAUACAGAUCAUAUGAUAUCUUAAUCUAGUUAGAUAAUUUUCACAUUUUAUUUAAUUCCAAAUUACAUGAAAAAAUACAAAAAAAUGUCUUAGAAUAAAUUAGUUCUAGGAUAGAUUGCAUUUUUAGGAAAAAGAAAAAAUGUCAUAUGCACGUCAUUAGGGUUAGAUUCAUUGAGAUGCAUGUCAUUUAGUAUUUUUGCUAGGCUCAUUUAAUUAGAAAUUACAUGUCAUUAGAAUUAGGUCAUUUAGUUAAUAUUGCAUUGCAUAUUGCAUGAUUUUCAUUAAUUAAGUGAAAACAAAAAAAAUUGCGUGUUAAUUAGAAACCAUAUCUAAGGUUGUUGAUGUGGAUUUUGAUUUAACAUUGUAGGUGCUUCCGUUGCUUUAAGGUAAGUUUUUGCAAUUUAUUUAUUGUUUAUUUGGGUGUUAAAUUGGUGGUUUAUGCACCCGCAUAAUCACCUUACAUGUUAGGUAAAUAGAUGUAAAAUCAAUUUAAGCUGCUCGCAAAAACAUUUUUUGGAAAAUAAAAGAAUGGUACCAAAAGGGCAUUAGAGGAAUCUAGUGUAACCAAGUCCCCGUAUCCAUAGUCUCUGGUUCGUAGGAGUAAAGUAAAACUCCCGUUACUUUACUUGGGUUUUUAAUCGACCCACCAAAAAUAGAUUAGUGGCGACUCCUGAUUAAAAUUUAAUCGCAUGUUAAAAAUUUGAACCCAAGUCGCGAAUUGGUAUAAGCUUGGGAGAGCCCGAGCUAAGCUUAAAGCUUAAAAUCCAUUAGCCAAACCCUAGGUGGUUCUCAUCCGAAAAAUUGGCUGCGACAUUGUUAAAAGCAAGUGGUGCAUCCUGACGAGGUCGCUGCUCGAUAACGCCAUUAGGAUCAAAGACUCAUUGAGGAUUAGACUCACUAGUUUGGGUUGUCGAAAUUGUUUCUUUCCUUUGCAAAAUCCUUAUAGGUGCUAAGGGUGGUACGCUCUAUCCUACAGUGCCAAAAGUUAUCGCAAGAGAUGAUGGCAAAGAUGCGUACCUUAUUGCUAUGGGAGCAUUCCCAAUCUAUGGCUGGGCUGAUCUUACUGGGAUUCCUUGUAGCCCCUAAGCACAUUCAUGAUAUGUGUUAAUUAUCAACAACCUGAUGACAUUAGUCAUUUGUCUCACCAUAUAAUCAGGGAAUUCAUUCUGGGUUUCUUCAACGGUUCGUCUCAUUGACAAAAGCAUGACAGGGGUAAUUUCCACUGAUCUCCUUGGUUCCUCCACAUGCUGCCUGGGACAUCUAUGUUCUCACCUUAUGCCUAAUUUGGAACAGGUUGAGCAAAUGAUGACUCAGCACGUGGAAUAUCCUCCAUUGAUGGUAAGGGCUUGUCUAUGACACCGUUUAGAUUGUUGCGACUCCUUGUAUGUGGCAUAGCACUCUCUCGUAUUAACACAGCCGUCCCACUGGACGUGCCAAAAAGAUGUUUUGUUAGUUUUGGAUCCCACAAAGAAAUAUUUUUCUUAAAGUGUUAUAUUUUGGUUUUUAUUAUAGGAGACUUAGGUUCUGUGUUAGUAUUGGAUAAAAAGGGUAUAUAUAUAUUAUGGUCCUGAAUAUAAUGGAGUCCCUUAACACAAGUUCGAAAUUGAAGAUAACUAAUAUUGAAUUCUAAUCAACAGCUUGAUUUUAAACUCACUUUAAUGUACUAAUAAAAGCCCAUUAUAAUCAAAGUGGUUUGUAUAGUAUCGAAGCUGAUUCGACAACAUUGAACAUUGAAGAUGUCACAUCCCGAUCCUCGAGCGCGUGCCCAUCCCUCGGUGGUCAAUAAAUUUGCGACGUCUCAGGACGCGUCGCCAACCCAUUCAUUUUAAUAUGCAUACGGAAGCGAAACAAUACCCCUGACAACAAACGCUUUGGAUGUGACAUCCUGAUUUUCAGGUUCUGAUUUCAAUUAGUUAAAUUGGGCAUUUCAUCGACACGACUACAGUGUUUUUCUCUGAGUUGGCCACUCACAAGAUAACUAGACUAGCUGGGUAAGUUAUUAAGGACUUUAAGACAGAUAGACUUGAGAAUUCGACCAAGAAUCGACUUCUCGACCGUGCUCAUCUUUAGAGAUCAUUACGACACAGUUAAAAAUUGAAUUAAGAUUAGAGAUAGGUCGGUUCAACUGAGAUGUGUGACCGAUCGUGGGUGACUCCACUAAAUUGAAAAACUCUCGUUGACCGACAAUAAUUUGAUUUUAUUGUUGUUUUGGUACCUUGUGUCUGUAUUUGAACUCUCGAGAUUUUCACGAAAAUCGAGAAUCGACAAUGUGUCGAGUGGGUUCAUCGUGGCUCGAAGAAAAUCGACCACGGGUCAUUUGUCCUGAAAAGUUUUGAAAACUACCUAGUAGCCUAGGUCACGCUAAAAACGCGUCCGAGUGAAAUUAACCGCCAAUCUAAGUCCGAUUUCAGAAAUUAAAGUUUCUGUCAUGUCACAAUAAAUUCUAGGAGUAUUGACUUAGUCUCAGAAGAUUUUUCUGACACCCGACACUUUUUGGAAAAAAAGUCGUCGCCGAGUUGUUUUAGUGCAGAAAUUGCCAAAGAUGGUUUUUGGUCACAAAAUUGAGAUGCAAGAUGGGUUAGUGGAUGAGGAAAAAUAGCAAUUGAAGCAUUGAGAUAUCGAUUGAGUUUAUAGAGGCUGAGUGAGAGUGAAUCAAGAGAGAAUGAUUGUGCAAUUGAAGCAUUUGCUAAGAAAUUCGUAACAUCCCCACACCCUAGCAAGAAUGGACCACUUGGGAGGUUAUAUGAGACAUUUUUUAUGGCCUAAUGAAGGCCAAGUAUUUAUACAUGGCUAGAUUGAUUUAAGGGAGAUAUUUUGCAAAAUAUCAAGCUUUGGUGGAGCCCUCACUCCUCAUACCUAUCCACCUCUCUUUCUCUCAUACCCCACAACCGGACAACCUCUCUCUCCCUUCUCAUUUUUUGUGCGGCACCAUAGCUAAAGAAGACAAGAAAUCCACACCAUCUGCUCUCUCUCUUGUGCGCCAACCCCACCGAACGAAGACAGAACCACUCAGUAGCUCCGCAAACCCGCGCAACCACCGACUCUGCUCCACUACGCUUUGUCUUCCACGGUCAAUUUCCUCAAAAGUCUUCAACCCGUGAAAUUCGGUUGACCCCACAAGCCAGCGAAGCCACCGAACGCCCAUCUCCUCUCCAGCCACGUGUCUUCAACAGCGCAGCACCAACGUCUGCGUCACCUUCGUUUCCUCAGCUCCAUGUCGGUUGAUGCCGAAACAGCUUCAAAUCCGCGUGUCUUCGCCAUCAACUUCACGAAGCUGCGAGCAUGAAAUCGAGCGGCCUUCAUCUGGCCGUUCGAAGCCCACCGAAGUCUAGCGUUGUGGGCCCAUCUCAAACGAAAUUCCAACUCGCAGCCCAUUCUUCAAUUGAACUGAAGCCCGCAAGAACAGCCCAGUUCAGUUUUUGUUUCACCCACUUGAAGCCCAAAAGCCUGUAGCAGUUUGGCCCAUCUUCAGUAGUCUUCGAGCCCAUCAAUCCAGCAGCAAGUCUUUAAGCCCAGUCGAAUUUCAUCAGUUGCAACCCAGCCCAGUCCAGUCCAAGUGAGUUAUUUGGUCAAGCCCAAUCCUGCAGUCCAUCAACUGAAAUUUUGAGGCCCAAUUUGUAGCAAAGCAAUUGAAGUCCAGUCCACAACUUGAAGCCCGUCUUCAGCAGGCCCAACCCAAAAGCAAGAAUAAAUCUCAGUUGGGCUGAGAUUUGUUGGGCCCAAGUUUAAGGCCCGGUCCAAGCCCGCCGGUGUCGUUGAAAGCUCGAUUUCGGCCGCCAUCGCGGUGUUUCGGUCUUUGCUUUGCCAAGUGAGUUUUGCUCACUAAUACCUUCUUAGUUUGCUAAUGAUGCUUAAGGGUUAAUUAGAUUUAAUUAAGUGCAAUUAGGUGAUUAGAUUAAAGUAGAUUAGUGAUUAUUAGAUAAUUAUGAUGCAUGUUAGGCAAUUGGAUUGAGCAUUUGGCAAGUAGACAUGUACUGGUAUUUAUUAAAUGCAUCUCGGGAUUUUUCCCGACCCUUAUUGGGUUUCAAUUAGGCAUUAUGGGCCUAAAUUGGAUUUUUAGUAUUUAUUUAUAAUUUUCGAAAUUAUUUAAUUAAUUAUUGAUUUUCCAGAAAUUCGGCAGGAUAGCCGACAAUCGGAAUUUUAUGCUGAUUGUCGUGGCGUAGUCUGUUUAUUUAAUUGAGUUUUAUUUUGUGCUAAAUUGAAUUAUUUGUGAAAUUGAGAAUUAUUCUUUAAUUGAAUAAUCUUUGGUUAUUAAUUGAAAAAUAACUAGGCAUCGGUUGAUAAUGCCUAAAAUGUUUUGGUGGAAUAUAGAAAAUGGUGAGAUUUAUAGAAAUGAAAUUAUGAUAUUUUGGCUAAGGCUGACCGUGUACCCACACAUGACUAUUUUCAUCGGGAAUGAUAAAAUGGUGAUUUGAUUAAAUGAUCAAUUUUCAGCAUACUAUGAAAGUAUGUCUGGCAGCUUUUGGUGAGCAUAUAUAAUUUUUAGCAUACUAUGAAAGUAUGGCUGGCAGCUUCUGGUAAGCAUAAAUAAUAUACUAUAUGAGUAUAAUUACGGCAGCUUAUAGUGAGCUAUAGUAUACUAUAUUGAUAAUUGCGGCAGCUUCUGGUAAGCUAUAGUAUAUUGAUAAUUGCGGUAGCUUCUUGUGAGCAUAAAUAUUAUACUAUAUGAGUAUAAUUGUGGCAACUUCUGGUGAGCAUAUAUAUAUUAUUUUCGGUAUACUAUAAAAGUAUGACUGGCAGCUUUUAGUGAACAUAAUAAACAUAUCAGAUCAAUGAAUUUGGCAGCUUCUGGUGAGCAUAUUAUUAUAUCAGAUCAAUGAAUCUGGCAACUUCUGGUGAGCAUAUUAUUAUAUCAUAUUAGUGGAUUUGGCAGCUUCUGGUGAGCUAUACUAUCUAUAUAUCGGCUAAAGUGAACAGUCCUAGAUUAUGGUCGGACUCAUAGAUAGUAUUGAUUGAGAUGACCGGGGAAUGGUCAUGUUGACAUGUAAUCAACUAGGUCGAUUGAUCGAUGAUUCGAUAUAAGUGUGGAUUUAUUGUGAUUCAAUGGUUCGAUAUGAUGUUGUGAAUUGAUUGAUUGAAUGGAAAUGACCGUGAGUGGUCUUGUUGGCGUGUAAUUGAUUAGGUCAAUUUGAUCGAUGCUUCGAUCAGUGAUGUGAUUGCUUGGGUGCCUAUUUGAUCUGUGCUAAUAUGCAGGUGGAAUCUGAGGCCAAGGUAAGUCCUUUGACUCAUGUUGUGCAUAGGCAGCCCUAAGGUGUAUUAGUUUACUAAUCGGGUUUUAGGGAGUAAAAUUUGCUGAGACGUAGUCUCAUCCCGGUUGUGGGACAACAUUUCAGGACCCUGAUGAGGAAUCUGAGGAGAAAGAACCCGAAGAGGAGUAUCUGGAGGAGAACCCCAAGGAUGAUCUAGAGUAGGAUCCUGAUGAGAAUUGAGACUCUACUCCUAUCUGAUGACUUUUGCUGUGGAACCUAAUUGAGUAGAAACUGACCUUUUUAGCAUGGCUUGUAUAUGUACAUGUAUGACUGAGUUGUUAUAUAUAUACAUAAGGGUGUUGGUUUUCAGGUUCAAGUUUAUAGUCCUACUUGUAUAUCCCAUUGCUUUAUUGUUUGGGGAUUUUUAAUACUGCUUCCGCAUGUGCUAUUAAAAAGAAAAGGGUCGGCGAUAUGUAGUCCUGGGAUAUCGCAUUUAAAAAUCGACCAAGGUAAGGGAUGUACGCGUGCCUGAGGAUUAGGGCGUGACAUGGGAUAGGAAGAAGCAGGAACCUAAAUCACCGCCAAAACACUUCUUUAUAAACACAUAAGGUUUAUAUACAACAUCAAUCUACAGAAGACCGUCUCAACAAAAAGGGAACUAUCCUAUGACCAGCUAGUCAGACACAUUCGUUGAUCCUUCGGUCUCCACAGGUUCCAUGGGCGUUGGGUCCUCCACCACACCAUCAUGAGGGUCUGCUGCACUCUCACCUAGAACGGCAUCUACUAUCACAGCGGGAACCUCAAAACCCCGAAGGGGACCCACACAAAAUUCAUUGGGUCCAAAGCGAAACCACACCCUAAAUCGAUGAGGUACCCUCUGAGGUAAACCCUCUUUGACCCAAACAGUGGUUACUACAAGUUCGUAGACCUAGUGACUUUCGGGAUCACGGUAGUUAAAAACCCGCUCGGUAACCCUCAUUGGCCAACAAAAACGCUCAGGAGGAGUAGCCAUCUACGGACCUGAAAAAGUUGAGCCGACGACGGGGUGAGAUAUUGUCUCAGCAAGUUCACCUUGUAAACUCCGAAUAUGAAGGAAAUAUGCCUAGAGGCCUAGCCACACAAAUUAGAGGACUUACCUUGCCUCAGUUCCUUCCUACAUGUCAGUAUAAAUUUAUAUUCAAUCAUUGCUUACACAAGCAUGAACUACCGACACACAUCGGUCUAUCAAUUCAAUCAAUCACUGCUCACAGAAGUAUGAACUACCGACACACAUCGGUUCAUCAAUUCAAUAAAUCACUGCUCACACAAGUUGACAUACACUAUUGCUCACCCAAGCUGACUUCUAUCAAUGCUUACACAAGCUGACAUAGAUCAUUGAGAUCAUUACUCACACAAGCUGACUUUUAUUGAUGCUCACACAAGCUGACUAAUCAUUGCUCUCACAAGCUGAUUUAUCUCAAUGCUCUCACAAGCUAACUUUUCAUUGGGCUCAAACGAGCUAUCCAAUCAAUACUAGUCACACAAGCUGCUAUGGUACUUAAAAAUCACAUUCGGUGUCAAAACCCGACACCUGGUAUUUUCGAGUUAAAUACCAAAACUUUACCAACAUCACUUAAUUUCACAAUAUAACAUUCAAUUACAGAAAUUAAACAUACCACUGCGAUCAGCUCGAAAUUCUAUCGAGUGGCUCUCCCGGUAUAAUUCCUGAAAAAUAUUAAUUAAUUAAUAAUUAAAUAAAUUUCAAAAAUUAAUUGAAUUUUAAAUAUAAAAUAAUAUUUAAUUUAAAUAAUUAAUUAAAUGAAAUAAUUAAUUAAAAGUUUAAUCAUGCUUACACUAAUCUAAUUGCAUAAUUAAACUAAUUAAUCUAUUCCCUAAACUAAUCAUUCAUCUAAUCUAAUUAACAUUUAAAUAAGCUAAUCUAACCACCUAAACAUGCUUAGCCUAAUCUAAACACUCCUUAAGCGUAAUUAACUCCCUAAGUAGAGUUUAGUGAGUAAACUCACUGGAUUAAUGUUCCGAUGAGUCCACGCCGACGGCAACGCCAAGGCGGGCGACAAACCUCCUCGCGGCGACACCAACCAAGGCUUGGAAGGGCUUGAAAACGGGCCUUGAAGUCUUAAGACCCUUGCUGUCUUCGGCCUUUGUUUGCUGGACCAAAGGGCUGCUCGAGCGGCUUGAAGUGGCGAGGAGGGACGGUGGAGGUUGCAGCGGCCUAGGCGGGUGACUCCAGUAGUUGACCGAUGGCCUGAGGAGCUCAGGGGACACGAUUGGACAUGAGAGAAGGCGCAGAACAACGGCUGGGUGCGAGGAUAGCAGACGGUGCACGCGGGCGAGCAGGCGCGAGUGGCGGCGGUCCGGUGGCCUUAGCUGGCUGUUCCCGGGGAUUGGACGGCGGCGGUGACUGCUCAGGCGACCUUGACAACAACUAAGGGGACUCGGGGGACGGUGAAGAGGUGUGGACUAGGCAGGAUGAGUGGGUGCAGCUCACUGGGCGUGACAGCGAGCGAAGGGCAAGUGAGCGGCGACAAGGGGCGCGACAGGCUUGGGCGGUUGCUUGGCUAAAGGGGGAGGAAGGCUGGCCGGUUUCUCUAGUUUUUCAAGCUCUCUAAUGACCUCAACAAUGGAGAAAGCCAAGCUUCAAGGAGGAAGAAGGCUCAGUUGAAGAGGGGGACCCCAAAGUGGCUUCUAAGGCCUCAACACUUGGCCAACACACUCAUCACAUGCCCCCACCAUGUCAGCCCACAUGCUCAGCCAAUUCUCUCUCCCCAAGUUUCCUCAAGAAGCUUCUUAAGGUGUCCAAAAUGUUGUGUCCCCCAUGGCCUACGAAUUUGGACAUUUACACAUCAAUUCCAUUCAAUUCCCAUUCAAUUCUCAUCCAAUUGAGCUCAAUUUGUUGUCCAAAAAUCCAACCAAGGUGCCAUCAUCCUAAUCAACCUUUUUCCUUACCAAUUAGUCCAACUUGAAUCCCAAGAAUGUGACAAAAAAUGGGCCUACGAAUUUCCCGAUCCAAAAUGCUCGUACUUUGGAUUUUUCGCUGAAAAUCUCGGUUUGUAGAAAAAUCUUUGGAGGGUGAGUCGACGUUCCUAAAAUGACUCGUGACAUGAUAGAACUUCUAAUUUUUGAAAUCGGGUUCAACUUCGCGGUUAAUUUCAUUCUAACAUGAUUUUAGCGCGUCCUAACCUACUGAGUAGCUUUUAGGAACUUUUCAUGCAAUUGACCCGUGGUUGAUUAUUUUCAAGCCACAAAGUACAUCUUCAACACAUUGGCGACUCUCGGUUAUCUUAAAAAUCUCGAGAUUUAUACAGGGUACCAAAACGACAGAGAAAUCGGUCUAGUGCCGAUCGACAAGAAUUUUGUAAUUAGGAGGAAUCACCCACACUUAAUCACAUACAUUUCUCGGGUUGACCUAUUUCCGGUCUCUAAUCAGUUUGUGCCGUAAUGACCCUUGCAGAUUAGUACAGUCGAGCAGUCGAUUCCUGGUCGAAUUCUUAAGUCUAUUGUGUUUCGAUUCCUUAACGGCUUCAUCCGGUAGGUUAGUUAUCUCAUGAGUGGCAUACUUAGAGAAAAGAGCUAUAGGCGCGUCGAUGAAAAGACCAACUCAUUCAAUUGAAAACAUAAUUGGAAAAUCAGGAUGUCACAACUCUUCCCCUCUUAUAAAAAUUUUGUCCUCAAAAUUUAAACCAUUACAAUUCCUUAAACAAAAAGGUGGGUGUACAGUCGUGUCAUCGACUCUUCACUCUCCCAGGUUGCUCCUUCAGUGCUGUGGUGUUGCCAGACCACUUUGACCAAAGGGAUCAUCUUGGUGUGCAGAACUUGUUCUUUCCGAUCCACAAUCUAAACCGGGCUUUCCACAUACGACACUCUGUCAUCCACGUCUAAAUCCUUAAAAUUCAGCAUGUGGGUUGGGUCAGGCUCAUACUUCCUUAACAUCGACACGUAAAAGACGUCAUGCACUUGUGCCAACCUCGGCGGUAAUGCAAGACGAUACACUAGGAUCUCGAUUCUUUCAAGAAUCUCAAAUGGACCUACGUACCUAGGACUCAGCUUUCCUUUCUUGCCAAAGCGCGAAGUAUCCCUCAUUGGUGACACCUUCAGAAAAAAGUGAUCACCAACUUGGAAUUCCAAAGGCCUUCGACGCUUAUCGGCGUAGCUUUUCUAGUGGCUCUUAGCGGUCUUUAAUAUGUCUCUGAUGACGGCAAUUGCAUCCACUGACUACUGAACUAACACUGGGCCUGUAAUCUUUCGUUCUCCGACCUCAUCCCAACACACUGGCGUUCUGCACGCCCUGCCAUACAACGCUACGAAAGGAGCCAUCUGAAUGCUCUGCUAGUAGCUGUUGUUAUAGGCAAACUCAACAAGAUGAAGCUGUUCCUCCCAGCUUCCCUUGAAAUCCAACAUGCAAGCUCGCACCAUGUCUUCGAGGGUUUGAAUUGUCCUCUCAGACUGGCCAUUCGUUUGAGGAUGAUAAGUCGUACUAUACUGCAGCUUCGUUCCUAAAGCGGUCUGCAAACUCUUCUAGAAGGCAGCUGUAAACCUCGGGUCUCGAUCUGAGGUCAUUUUCACUGGCACUCCAUGUAGACGAACAAUCUGACGCACGUACAACUCUGCGUGCCUGUCCAAAUCAAGGUCCUUUCAACUGCAAUGAAAUGAGCCGACUUCGUCAGUCUAUCGACCAUUACCCAAAUGGAAUCAUUACCCCUCUGACUCCUUGGUAAGCCUGUCACAAAAUCCAUUGUGAUGUGCUCCCAUUUCUACUCGGGAAUCUAGAGAGGUUGCAGAAGUUCUCACGGCUUAUAGUGUUGUGCCUUCACUUGCCGACACAUCAGACACUUGAUAACAUGCUUGGCGAUGUUCACUUUCAUACUGGACCACUAAUAGUAUUGACGUAGAUUCUGAUAUAUUUUCGUACUGCCAGGAUGAAUGCUGUAGCUGCUACGAUGAGCGUUCGAUAAAAUCUCUUCCUUGAGCGCUACACCGUCAGGUACACAUAAUCGUCCUCGAAACCUCAAUAUUCCGUUCUCAGAAACCUGAAAGUCAGCAUUCUUCUUUUCGGUAUUCUCCUAUAGAAUCUUAUGAAUCUCUAUGUCUGUCCACUGAAGCAUCUUGAUCUUUAUCUGCACUUACGAUUCAAUUCUGAGGGUGGCCAUAAGAUUCGAAAGGUGGCCUACCUCAAAUUUGAAACCCGAAUCUCGAGCUUUCUCAAGUAAAGCCCAUUCCUUGAGCACCAUAUGCGUGACUGAAGAUUUCCGACUUAGUGCAUUAGCAACUUUGUUUGCCUUUCCAGGGUGAUACAAGAUAUGACAGUCGUAAUCCUUCAAGAGUUCCAUCCAGCUACGCUGUCUCAUAUUCAAUUCCUUCUAAGAGAAUAAGUACUUGAGACUUUGAUGGUCAAUGAAGAUCUAGAAUCUUUUUCCACAAAAAUAAUGUCUCCAAAUCUUCAGAGCGAAAAUGAUUGCUGCGAGUUCCAAGUCAUGCAUCGGGUAAUUCAGUUCAUGAGGCCUCAACUGACGGGACACAUAUGCAACAACCCUACCAUGUUGCAUCAGCAUGCAACCCAGUCCUCUAAAUGAUGCAUCACUGUAGAUCUCAUAUCCUCCAGGACCAGAAGGAAUGGUUAGCAUAGGUGCGAUAGUCAGCUUCUGCUUAAGCUCUUGGAAACUACGCUCGCACUUGUCUGUCCACACCUCGAGUCAACGAUGACGCUAAAGCUGAAAACCCCUCUACGAACCUUCUGUAGUACCCUGCUAAAUCCAAGAAACUUCUGAUCUCUGUCACUGUAGUCGGUCUUGGCCUGUUGAUAACUGCUUCAAUCUUGGCGGGGUCCACAGAAAUUCCUUCGCCUAAAAUCACGUGACCUAGGAACGCUACACGAGUCAGCUAAAACUCGCACUUGCUGAACUUAGUAUACAACUCAUGACUUCGCAAAGUCUGAAGCACUAUCCUUAAGUGCCUUUUGUGCUUCUCGGGACUACUAGAGUACACCAUGAUAUCAUCAAUAAACGCGAUCAUGAACUGAUCCAGAUACUUUUUGAACACACGAUUCAUUAGAUCCAUAAAAGCAGCUGGGGCGUUCAUCAAACCAAACGGCAUUACAGUGAACUCAUAAUGGCCGUAUCGAGUACGAAACGCUGACUUCGGUAUGUCCUCAUUUCUGAUCCUUAGUUGGUGAUAUCCCGUCCUCGAGUCAAUCUUUGAAAAUAUCGACGCUCCUGGCAACUAAUCAAAUGAAACGUUGAUCCUUGGUAGUGGAUACUUGUUCUUGAUUGUCACCUGAUUGAGUUGACGAUAUUCGAUGCACAAACGCAACGAACCAUCUUUUUUCUUUACAAAGAAAACUGGUGCUCCUCAAGGUGAUGCACUGGGAUGUAUUAACCUCUUAUCCAACAAUUCCUGCAUCUGCAUCUUCAAUUCCUUCAACUCAGAUAAAGCCAUCUGGUAAGGAGCCUUAGAGAUUGGCUCUGUCUCGAGUGCUAACUUGAUCACAAACUCUAUUUCCCUCUCUAGCGGUAAACCCAACAAUUCCUUUGAAAGCACAUCCUGAAACUCUUGGACCAUUGAGAUGUCUUGAAUCUUCAGUUCCUCGACUGUCAUAUCCACGACGGUCGCCAAGUAACCUUGGCAACCCCCGUCUAACAAACAGGUUGCCUCAAGCGACAAGAUUAAGGUAAUCGAGGGUCCUCCUUGACUUCCAAUAAACUCAAAGCUCUCACCCCCUAACGGGUUAAACUGAAUCACUUUGCAAUAGCAAUCCAUCUUAGCUCUUUGCUUGGUAAGCCAGUCCAUGCCAAUUAUUACAUCAAAAUCAUACAUGACUAGGACUAUCAAGUUUAUCCUCCCCUCUUGCUCACCAAUCACUAACUUGCAACCAGAACAACCCCAUGCAGCUAACACCUUAUCUUUUAACGGUGUAUAUAUGCUAACCACUUACUCCAACAAUUUAGGACUCAAUCCUACCAGUUUAACAAACUGCUCAGCUAUAAAAGGAAUGAGUGGCACCAGGGUCAAAUAAAGCAUAUGCAGCAUAGUCAUUCAACGAGACCAUACUUGUAAUCACAUCAGGCGCAUCCUCAGCCUGUCCUCUCAUGAUAAAGUACAUCGUUCCAUGUGCCGGAGGUCGGUUCAGUCCACCCUGUGGUGCGAUUUGCGACGCAAACCCCCUAUUCUAACCCAUUGGUGGUGGUGGCGGUAAUUGCUGUGGUCCCCUCUGCUUUAUGGGACAGUCUCUGGCCAGGUGACCUUGUUGGCCACACUCAAAACAAGAUCCCAUCCUGAAAUGGCAAGGGACUGAUCCAUGUCGCCUUCCACACAAGCGACACACGGCAUUCUGACUUGGUGCUGACUUUCCAAUUCCACCCUUCCUGUUGGGCGGAAUAGGAUAUCUUCCUCCAGUCAUGGGUCUCUUCCCAAACCGGUUUCCGUCUCUGUUCGAACUAAACCUUGAACUAAAUGCAGCAGUCUGUUCACUCAAGUUCCUCUUAAUCAGCUAGGCCCGACCAUAAACUUCAUUAUAAUCCUUUAGGUCGAAUGGCACUAACGGAUUCUUCAGCUCUGGUCGGAGGCCAAUCCUGAACCUCCAAGCUUUCUCUUCUAGAUCCUCUAUUAGUCUUGGAGCGUACUGAGACAGCUCUAUGAACUUGGCUUCAUACUAAUCCACAGUUAGCAUGCCUUGACGAAGGCACUGGAAUUCCUCCAUCUUCUACUCUCAGGCGCUACCCGAAAAGUAUUUACCAUUAAAUGUUAUGAGGAAAGUGUUCCACACCGAGACUACGCCUUCAGGAAAUAUCGUGCCUCUGGUGGCUCUCCACCAAGUAUUAGUGUUACCCUACAGCUGGUAUAUUGCAAGGACAACCUUUUCCUCCUCACUGCACAUCAACAAUGCAAAAGCCUUUCCAGGUCUUGGACCUAGAGUGACACAGCUUCAGGAUCUCCUGCGCCAUUGAACCUCAGCGGGUUCAGCUUCAAGAAUUGCUCCACGAGCUUAUGAAUAGGCCUCUCUCGGUACAACUACAACCUCAAGCGGAACUUUCGCAGGAGAAGCAGCGGCAACAACGGCAGCAGUAGCGGCAGCUUGAGCGGCGACGGCUUGAUUCUGGGCCUGCUGUCCCAUCAGAUUUCUUAUCGCCUCAAGCGCUUGCAUGAUCCCUUUGAUUUUGGGAUCACCAAGGGCUACUACCCCAGCACCAACAGGAGGCAGUGCUACUCCACUAGCGCUGGCCUUAGCCUGCGCUCUACCACGGCCACCUCGGGUACCGACCCUGGCCGGCGUACUACCUUGAGUAACUGGACCUAUGGUCCUCUUUCUAGGAGUCCUCUGCUCCUGAUCACUCAUCUACAGGAUCCUUAUAGAUACAUGUUUUCCAAUUCCAAUACCAUAUUAGAAUUUGAGUGAUCCCACACCAAACAAUUUACCAUUCAGCUAACAAUCACAUGCAUCGGCAUGAAAUAGAGGUCGUUUCUACUUACUAUCCUAAGAAUCUAUCACACCUUAUCACUCCAACUAUCGACCAACUCUGACACCACUCCGAGGUGGGGAUGUCACGCCCCGAUCCUCAAGCACGUGUCCAUCCCUCAGUGGUCAAUAAAUUUGCAAUGUUCCAGGACGCGUCGCCAACCUAUUCAUUUUAAUACGCAUCCAAAAGCGAAACAAUACCCUUGACAACAAAUGCUUGGUGUCAUGCCUCGAAUGUCGAGCGCGCGCACAUCCCACUGCGAUCAAUACAAAUGUGACGUUCCUAGGAGCCGUCGUCGACCCAUUUAUUUUUAAUGCACAUACGAAAGCGAAACAAAUACCCCUAACAACAAACGGCAUGAGAUAGGAAAGUAGGGCACAUUUCACAAAAGCAUACUUUUAUAAACACCGGGUUUAGAUACAAAAAUGAGUUUGGUCAAAAGUCUACAAAAAGGUUGGCUCUCAAAAAGAUGUUGUCCUACGAUAUACUAGUUGGACACAUACGCCGAUCCUUUGGACUCUACCUCCAUAGACUCCGGGGUUGCUGGUCCUCCACGGCCACCAUCUAAGGACCUAAAAAUUUAGCCUACGACGGGGUGAGACAAUGUCUCAGCAAGUCCAUCCCCUAAACCCCUAUUAGGAAGGAAAUACGCCAUCAGGGCGCUCUAGCCACAUAACCACACAAUUAGAACAGAUAACUUACCUCGCCUCAGUUCCUUCCUGUACGUCAGCACAGUUCAUUUCACAAUUGCAUAUAAUUAAUGCAUAUAACAAUUGAAACACCUCAAUUACUCAAUAAAUCACAAGAGUCCCAAUUAUAAGGCCAAACCGUUAUGACACAUUCCGUACUAUGUCACACAGUCUUGUCUCAUAAUUAGACGCAUCAAACUCAAUCAAUCAUGCGUUCCAAUUGUUAAUUAAACCCCUCUAGGGUAUUGUUGACUCCCAUGUUUGGCGGUCUAUUGGCGUAACCAGGCAUCGUCCCUUCCCCAUUGAGCAUGGCUACGUCUCUCAUAGACGGCUUUCUCGAAGGAACAUAGGUCUAGAAUCUACUGCGACCCAAUACCCUAAUGCAUGGUUAACCCGAAAAGGGAUUUAGUAAUGUCCGGCGUAAAUGCUCGAGACGGAUUCUCUUUAACCAACACACGACCAAUCAAUCUCGGCCCAGGAUACUGUGUAUUGCACACAAAUGCCUAAAUUAAAAUAGUGAUCCUGGCCUAUUUUAUUCAUCUUAAAAACAUUCGGGAAAAUAGUUGUGUGUGGGUACACAAUCAAUUCGAACCAGAAAAACUGAUACAUUUUCUUUUCAAACCCCACUAUUUGAUAUAGUACUUAAAAUCCAUUUUCGGUGUCAAAACUCGACACCCGGGAUUUUCUGAUAAAUAUCAUAUUUUCACAAUCAUUACUUAAUUUGCACAAUCCAUCAAUCAAUUGCAUAAUCUGAACACACCAUAGCAGUCAGCACGAAAUUUCAGUCACCGACUAUCUCGGUCUAAUUUUCGAAAAAUAAUAAAUGAUUAAAUAUAUUUUGAAAUUAAAUUAAAUAAUAUUAUAUUAUAUUAAUAUAAAUUAAUAUAAUAAUAUUUAUAAAUUUGAAAUAAUUAAUUAUUUUAAAUUAAUUAAGGCCUAAUCAAGAUUACACUAAUCUAAUCACCUAAUUAGCCUUAAUUAAUUAUCCACUACACUAAUCACAUCCCUUAAUCUAAUUAAGAAUUAAUUAAACUAAUCUGACCACCUAACCAUGCUUAGCCUAAUCUAAACAACCCUUAAGCAUAAUUAACCUCAUAAGCAAGGUUUAGUGAGUAAACUCAUCGGUUUAGCGUUCCGGUGAGUCCAUGGCGACGGCGACACCUAGGCGAGCGACAAUCCUCCUAGUGACGACACCAAGCGAGGUCAGAAAGGGCUUGAAAACGGGCCAGAAAGACCUCACGGUUUGCUAGUUUUCUGCUUCUGUUCUUAGCUGAACUGCAGAGAGAGAACCAGCGGCUAAACGGCAAGGAAGGGCUGAUCGGAGCUCCAGCGAGUGGGUGGCCGGCAAUCGGCGGCACCUGGGGUCAAGGGGGGACGUGCUGGUGGUUGGGACGGGCGGUGGAAGGGUUGAAAUGGGGAGAAAAUUGUGAAAACUGCAAAAUAGUGCAAGCGGGUAAGGGAUCGACGGACCGGUAAGCGGCGGCUUGUUUCUGGCGGACGGGAUGGCCAGCGGCUCCGUUCGGCGCGAGGCCGGGCUCUUCCAUACGGUUUGGAUGUGAUGAGCACGGUGGUGGGUGGCACGAAGGCUGAUUCGCACGAGAAGGCAACUUUUAACUCAGAUUUUUGGAGAAAUGUCAGCUAGAGCAGAAACUAGAAGGAAGGAAAAUAGGGGAGGAAAGAGGGUUUGGUGCCUUUAGUGGUGGUCGACGGUGAAGGGGGCUGGUCUACUCGGUUUUCUCUACUUCUCUUGAGCUUCCAAGGAACCUCAACAAUGGAGAAAGGUGGGUUUCAAGGAGGAAGAAUGCUGUUGAAAAGAGGGGGUCCCCAAAGGCUUCCUAGGCCUUCAACACUUGUCCAAUUCUCCCAUCUCUUGCCCCCACCAGCCUUGGCCCUCAUCAGCCAUUUUCCUCUCCUUGGCUUUCUCAAGAAGCUUGCCAAAUGAUCCAAAAAGUUGUGCACCAUGGCGGCUACGAAUUUGUAACAUUUCCCCUUCAAUUCCAAUCAAUUCUCACUCAAAUUAAUCCAAUUGAAGCCCAAACAAAUCAGCCAAGGUGUCCUCGUCCAUCUUAUGAUUUUUCCCCAUCAAUUGAUCCAACUUGACGGCCAAAGUUGCGAUAAAAAAAUGGGCCUACCAAUUUCCCGAUCCAAAAUAACCAUACUUUGAUUUUUCGUCGAAAAUCUCGGUUUGCAGGAAAAUCUUCUGAGGAUGAGUCGACGUUCCUAAAAUUAUUUGUGACAUGAAAGAACUUUAUCGGGUUCAAUUCACGGUUAAUUUCAAUUUGGCGUGGUUUUAGCGCGUCCUAAUUUACAGGGUAGCUUUUAGGAUUUUUUGGCGUAUUUGACCUGUGGUUGAUUAUUUUCAAGCCACAAUGUACAUCUUCGAUACAUUGGUGACUUUCGGUUGUCAUGGAAAUCUCGAGGUUUCAAAUACGGAUACAAAGUACAGAAACGGCAGAAAAAUUGAUCUAGUGCCGUUCGACGAGAAUUUUGUGAUUAGGUGGAAUCACCCACAUACUAAUCACAUACCUCUGUCGGAUCGACCUAUCUUCGAUCUUUGGUUGAUUUUGACAGUGCCGUAAUGACUUUUGCAAAUCAGUAUGGUCGAGCAAUCGGUUUCUGGUUGAAUUCUCAAGUCAAUUGCGUUUAUAUUCCUUAACGGCUUCACCUGAUAGACUAGUUAACUCGUAAGUGACCAAUUAAGAGAAAAAUGCUAUAGGCGCAUCGAUGAAAAGCCCAUUUCAUCUCAUCGAAGACAGACUUGAAAAUCAGGAUGUUACACUUGGGAUAGGAAGAAGCAAGAACCCAAAUCACCACCAAAACACUACUUUAUAAACACAUAGGGUUUAUAUACAAUAGCAAUCUACAAAAGACCGGCUCAACAAAAAGGGAACUGUCCUAUGACCAGCUAGUCAUGCACGUUCGCCGAUCCUUCGGUCUCCACAGGCUCUGUGGGCGUCAAGUCCUCCACCACACCAUCAUGAGGGUUUGUUGCACUCUUGCCUAGAACGACAUCUACUACCACAUCAAGAACUUCAAAACCCUGAAGGGGACCGACACGAAAUUCAUUGGGUCCAAAGCGAAACCACACCCUAAAUUGAUGAGGUACCUUAUGAGGUAAACCCUCUUCGACCCAGACGACGGUUACUACAAGUUCGUAGACCCAGUGACUUCCGGGAUCACGGUAGUUAGAAACUCGCUCGGUAACCCUCAUCGGCCAACCAAAACACUCAGGAGGAGCAGCCAUCUAUGGACCUAAAAAUGUUGAGCCCAUGACGGGGUGAGACAUUGUCUCAGCAAGUUCACCCCCGUAAACUCCGACUAGGAAGGAAAUAUGCCUAGAGGCCUAGUCACACAAAUCAGAGGACUUACCUCACCUUAGUUCCUUCCUGCACGUCAGUACAAAUUCAUAUUCAAUCAUUGCUCGCACAAGCAUGAACUACCAACACACAUCGAUCUAUCAAUUCAGUCAAUCACUACUCACAGAAGCAUGAACUACUGACAGACAUCGGUUUAUCAAUUCAAUAAAUCGCUACUCACACAAGCUGAGGUACACUAUUGCUCACCCAAGCUGACUUCUAUCAAUGCUCACACAAGAUGACUUUAAUUUAAAUAUAAAAUAAUAUAAUUAAAUAAUAUUCAUUUUCGACCAACAUCACUCAAUUUCACAAUACAACAUUCAAUUACAGAAAUUAAACAUACCACUGCGAUUAGCUCGAAAUUCUAUCGAGCAGCUCUCUCGGUAUAAUUCCCGAAAAAUAUUAAUUAAUUAAUAAUUAAAUAAAUUCCGAAAAUUAAUUUAAUUUAAAUAUAAAAUAAUAUAAUUAAAUAAUAUUUAAUUUAAACAAUUAAUUAAUUAGAAGUCUAAUCAUGCUUACAUUAAUCUAAUUGCAUAAUUAAACUAAUUAAUCUAUCCCUAAACUAAUCAUUCAUCUAAUUUAAUUAACAUUUAAAUAAGCUAAUCUAACCACCUAAACAUGCUUAGCCUAUUCUAAACACCCCUUAAAUAUAAUUAACUCCCUAAGCAGAGUUUAGUGAGUAAACUCACUGGAUUAACGUUCCGAUGAGUCCACGGCGACGGCAACGCCAAGGCGGGCGAUAAACCUCCUAGCGACGACACCAACCAAGGCUCGGAAGGGCUUGAAAAUAGGCCUUGAAGUCUUAAGACCCUUGCUGUCUUCGGCUUCUGUUUGCUGGAACGAAGGGCUGCUCGAGCGGCUUGAAGUGGCAAGGAGAGACGGUGGAGGUUGCAGCGGCUUAGGUAAGUGACUCUGGCGGCUGAACGGUGGUGGCGCGGCUUCGACAGUGGCCUGAGGAGCUCGGGGGACGUGGCUGGAUGUGAGAGAAGGCACGAAACAACGGCUAGGUGCGAGGACAGCAGAUGGUGCACGCGGGUGAGCAGGUGCGAGUAGCGUCGGUCCAGUGGCAUUAGCGGGUUGUUCCGAGGACUGCACGGUGGCAGCAAUUGCUCAGGCAACCUUGACAACAACUAGGGAGACUCGGAGGACGGCGAAGAGGCGUGGACCAGGCGGGAUGAUCGGGCACAGCUCGCUGGGCGCGACGGCGAGCGAAGGGCAAGCGAGCAGCGACAAGGGGCGUGACAGGCUCGAGCGACUACUUGGCUGAAGGGGGGAGUAAGGUUGGCCAGUUUCUCUGGUUUCUCAAGCUUUCCAAUGACGUUAGUAAUGGAGAAAGCCAAGCUUCAAGGAGGAAGAAGGCUCAGCUGAAGAGGGGGACCCCAAAGUGGCUUCCAAGGCCUCAACACUUGGCCAACACACUCAUCGCAUGCCCCCAGCAUGUCAGCCCACAUGCUCAACCAAUUCUCUCUCCCCAAGCUUCCUCAAGAAGCCUCCCAAGGUGUCCAAAAUGUUGUGUCCCCCAUGGCCUACGAAUUUGGACAUUUACACAUCAAUUCCAUUCAAUUCCCCUUCAAUUCUCAUCCAAUUGAGCUCAAUUUGUUGUCCAAAAAUCCAACCAAGGUGCCAUCAUCCUAAUCAACCUUUUUUCUCACCAAUUAGUCUAACUUGAAUCCCAAGAAUGCGACCAAAAACGGACCUAUGAAUUUCCCGAUCCAAAAUGCCUGUACUUUGGAUUUUUCGCCGAAAAUCUCAGUUUGUAAAAAAAUCUUCGAAGGGUGAAUUGAUGUUCCUAAAAUGACUUGUGACAUGAUAGAACUUUCAAUUUUUGAAAUCGGAUUCAAUUUCGCAGUUAAUUUUAAUCUAGCGCGAUUUUAGCGCGUCCUAACCUACCGGAUAGCUUUUAGGAACUUUUCGUGCAAUUGACCCGUGGUUGAUUAAUUUCAAGCCACAAAGUACAUCUUCGAAACAUUGGCAACUCUUGGUUGUUGUGAAAAUCUCGAGAUUUCAAAUAUGGACACGGGGUACCAAAAUGACAAAGGAAUCCAUCUAGUGUCGAUCGACAAGAAUUUUACACUUAAUCACAUACCUUUGUUAAGUCGACCUAUCUUCGGUCUCUAAUCGGUCUGUGUCGUAAUGACCCUUGCAGAUUAGCAUGGUCGAGCAGUCGAUUCCUGGUCGAAUUCUCAAGUCUAUUGCAUUUCGAUUCCUUAACGGCUUCACCCGAUAGGUUAGUUAUCUUGUGAGUGGCCAACUCAGAGAAAAGAGCUAUAGGCACGUCAAUGUAAAGCCCAACUCAUUCAAUUGAAAAUAGAAUUGGAAAAUCAGGAUGUUACAGAAGACGAUACCAAGAAUGCACUGCUCCCAGUUAGAAUUGAAGACACAACAUCGAAAUUUGAUCGAAAACAUUGGACGGUGGAAACAACACCUAGUAGACACUGCUCCUACAUAGAUAUGAGGACACAACAUCGAAAUCUAAUUGACAACGUUGAACGGUAGAAACAACACCUAAUAGAUACUACUCCUAAAUGGAUAUGAAGACAUAAUGUCGGAAUUUAAUCGUCGACGUUGGACGGUGGAAACAACACCUAAUAGGUACUGCUCCGAAAUGGAUAUAAGGACACAACGUCGGAAUUUAAUUGACAACAUUGGACGAUAGGAUAGCAUAGGAAUCUAAUCAACAGCUCUACCUAGGAUAUAGACAUUCAUCACAAUUGAAUUUACGACGGGAAUCUACAGUUACAGCUAAACUAAACUAGGCUAAGAUAAAAGGGUAAGAUAAAGGAAUUUUGUGUGUUGCUCGGGGGUGGCAGGGGAGGCUCUCUAUUGGAUUGGCUACGGUAUUUAUGGGCCAAUUUGGCAAGUGUUGGUGGCCAGUUGUUUCCUCCUUAAAAGUCACUCCAUGUUCUUUGCUUAACCGCUUUAUCCAUAUCUCGUUGCCUUAUUACCUGUUCAGUAAGUAUUACCACUCAUUUUAUUUUGGCGCCUUUUCAAGCAUCAACCGUUCCUGCCCAAAUUUUGCCAUCAAUUUUAUUUGAAUUCUAUGUCUUCAACAUCAUCUCUUCGCUUGGACACAUGGAAAUCAACUACUUUAUCAUUGAAUAAUAUAUCUAUGCUAGUAGGCCCAUCAAAAUCUAGCCCAAGGUCUCUUGAAAUCCUUGGCCAUCCUCCGUUUUCAUGAGAGACAUGGGUUGGCCUGAUGUAGAUCACAUGCCGCGUGGCAGUGAGGAUGAUUUCAAAUAUUUUCAUCCCUUGUAACCAGCACAUGGUAAUAAGGGUAAUUUGAGUGUCAAUAUCCCAUUUAUUUGAUGUUUUAUCUAAUGGAGCUUUCACGUCGUAUGAAAUUGCAACUACCGGCUCUAAGAAUGGGAUAUGACGAGGUCUUUUGACCAUAAUUAAUGUGGGGAUCGGGACUAGGCGCCCCUUUUUCCCUCCAUCCUAGGGCAAGGGGUGAGCUUGACUGGCAGGUAAUUGCAUUAAAGUUAAUUAAAAAGGAACGUUGCGAUGAUACAAUAGGAGAUAAUUUGAAUGGGAAAUAAAAGUGUGAGGAUCCAAAACAAGCUUGUAGGUUUCAUUCAAUCGACCAAUGGAAACUUCACAAAUCAUUUAAUAAAGAGGAUUUAAUGCAUUUUCCUAGUACAUUUAGCAUUUCUAUAACCUCUAUGAAGAAGGCACCAUUUAAUAUUUUCGGAAGUUCUCAUCAAAUUUCUAAUCAUAACCCAAAAUAAAUAUCUUACUCAUGCAUUUAAUAUUGAACUCACUUGCCCGCAAACAUAAGUUAAAAAAAUUGAGAUUGCAUCAAGCUUGACUACUCGAUUUGGACUUCAAACCAAUUUCGUUUGAAAGGCCAAAAGAAACAAUCAAAAGUAGGUGAGAAAACUUUAACCCAAGACACGGCAGAUGUAGAAGGAAUUUUGUGGAAAGAGAGAAAAGAGUUUCCACAUAACUUUUCCUUUCAAUGUGUUUCAUGUUCAUAUAAAUAAUCGAUGGAGCCACUAUUUGUCAAGAAUAUGAAGGCUUUAUUCUAUAUCUAAGAUUUAAAAAAAAAUAAUAAAAUAUAAGAAGAUGAGUGUUGAGAGCGCACAACAGUAGAUGACAAGAAUAUCACUGCUCGGUCCUCUCGUGAUUGAUGGCAAAUAUAAGGCACCAAUUUGUUCAGUCUCUAGUGUUCGGUCAUUGUUUCCAUGGAAUUCGUAGAAUAUGAGGCACCAAUAUUAAUAUUGCUUUCUAUUCCCUCAAUUUUUUAAAGGAGUGUCCUAUUGGACAGUGCUAUCUUAUAGAUUACUUUUAAUCUACCAAACCACAUGGCAGAUUAGAAGUGAAUAAUAAUCCAUAUUCGAUAAUUAAUGACAAUAAGCCACGCCACUUAUUACACAAAAUUUAUUAAAUAUUCUUAGUGUUUUUGACAUUUCUCUUUCUUGUUUUGGUUGUACAAGUGAAAACUAGCGAGACGUUGAUAAAUGAAUGACACCACUACAUGCACUAUGACUUUACUCAAAUUUGCUAAAUGAAAUGGUUUGCAGUGUGGUAUGCACCCAUUCAAGUUUGUUUGACAAUCAAUCCGAUGAUGCGUACCAAAUAGACAAUCCACUUGAUCUAGAGGUGGUCUUAUGGAUUCACGAGGUGAUUUUUGCCAUAGCACUUUGCUUUACAAGAUUCAAGAAAUAACUCCCAAGGGGUAGGACUUUGUCCCCCAUGACACUUAGUUACAGGGGUGGAAAAAAAAAAAAGAUCUAAAGAGCGAGUUGGCUCAGAUCAAAUGGCCUACAUUUUCAUGUCCGAAGAGGGCCGACAUGUGAUAUAGGACUCCCCCAUAUUCUUUUUCGGGCCGGUCCGCAUUUUCAGCCUGGCAUCCUCAGGAUCUCAGGCUUGAAAUGGCUCGGACCGGUCAAACUGUAUAUUAGAACUAGAAAAAAUUAUAAUAUAAAGAUUAAUAAUUAAUAAUAGAAAAUAUGUUGUUCAUAUUCCGAACACUUUAAUAAAGUCAUAAGUAAGUUAAAAUAUAAACAUAUAAUAUUUUUUUCCAGGCCCAAAGUAUAAUAACUAAUCUAUUUUUAAUUCAUAAAAAAUAAAAAAUCGAGUAAAAAAAACUAAGUUAUAAUUUUUUUCAACAAAAAGGCUUUCUAGUCUCUCUGUCCCCUCGUCUGUACUAUGAAUAGUUUAUUGUAUUAAACAAUGUCAAGAGGUCAAAAUACUUUUCACAACAUGAUCCAGAGCAUUAGUGAAUCGAUUAGUCUAUUCUAAUGCGAAAAUCACUCAUAAUUUUCUUGGAUCUGAGUGCACGGGGAAUGCAAUCUCUUUUCAUUUUGGAAGCAAAAAGCUUUCCGCGUGAUUCACGCACAUUUCUUUUGAGGGGCCAAAGGAAAUUCCCAAGUGCUUUUUUGAUGACUUGACCAAGAAAAGCAUCGGACUAAUUGCACAAUGUAUCGCCCUCAAGAAAAAUAAAAUUGACAUUCGCUUUAGAUAAAGAUCAUGAUCCACGUACAUCACAUCACGGAUUAAAGAAAUUAGAAGUAAAAUGCUUUUGCUUUGCUUUCACAUUUCUAGAUUGAAAAGAUGCCAAAACUUAUUUCAUUCGACUAAAAAAAAGAAGUUUGUUGGAUGACUUUUCCAUCCAAAAAGAGAUUUUGUGGAAAAUCUUUUCCUUUUGGAAAAGGAAAAGAAAUAUAUUAUACAAAAAAGUUAGUUGAUUUGUGAUAAUGAUUUGAUCUUUGUGUUUAUAUUGACAGAGUAAAUAUCAUUAAACUAUCAUUAAACGAGGGUUUUAUUCAUUUUUCUAGAGGUCAUCCGGAGGAGGGUCAUUGUUAAUAUAAGCCACCGACUUGUUCGUCAUGUGACCUCAGACAUUUCAAAAUAGUUUACUAUAAAUUGUAUAGUAUGAAGUUGACCCCUUGAAUCAUUUAUAAGUUGUAUGCAGAUCAUCUUCAAAACUAAAAUCUAUUUGAUCAUCCUUAUAAAGUUCAAAUAUGUUCAAUACCUUUAUGGCCUCAUUAUUUCUUGUGCUUGCAUUCAAAAGAUGUGAAGAGCUUCAAGGAUCGUCGACCAUACUUCAGUGGCAUCUUGAGAGGAUUUUUCAAAGGACAUCUGUUAGAACAAUAUAAUAAGUUAAAUUUUUCUUAUUUGAUCCAACCCCAUUUAUGUUUAUUUCCCCUUCUAAUAUAAUCUUUAGUUUGAUUGAUGGCUUCACACCUGUUAAUGAUAUGUCGCAAGCCACACAGCCGCCUUGUCAUUUAGUAAGAAAUUGCUAGUCAAGUACAUGUAACAGUACUCUUGAAAUAUUUGUCUCAUUAUGCCCACUAAAACAAUACAAGACACUUUAUAUGUUGGGGCAACAUUAAAUUGCUAGUCAAGUACAUGUAACAGUACUCUUGGAAUAAGCGUUAGUUUGUAAAAAGGGUAUAAGUGAUAAAUGGGGCAAGAUCAAUUUAAGGAAAUUUUGUCAGUCUUGUAUAAUUCCCUACAAUCUGUAAUAUGCUUUCUUGGCCAUACUUUUUGGUCAUACUGGUGAUGAAAAUGCCUGUAUAACCCUUAACCUCAGCUCUAUGAGGAGAGGUGAUGUUUGAGUAAGAGGCAAAGUCGGAAGAAGAGAAAUUUUCCCAAACCUCUACUAUGUUCUCCCCGAUGUUCCUAUAAAUCUUUCUUUUUCUAGGUCUAGUGAUAUUGGAAGGAUAAUAUUCCAAAUUUGAUUGGAUAAAACGAGUCGGUUCAACAAGUAUGCUCUUCAUUUGCUACUCAAAUCCUAUGAAUGAGAAAGCUUUUUCCAAAGGCCAUAAAGCCUUAAGAUGAGGGCUAAUGAUAUCUGAAGACCAUCAAGCAGUUUCAUUUAAGGACUAAAAGAGAGAACGGCGUGUGCAUUGGGAUGAUAUACAUGUCCAAUUUCAUUAGUCUUCCUCUUAUUUUAUCGUCGCAUGCGUUGUUAGCUUAUUCGAUUUCUCUUUUUUCAUUUUUCCUGUUGGGUAAUUGCUGUUAGUUAUAUGCCUUUCCUGUUGGGAUAACUCACGUGUCUUGAGUUCAAAAUCGGGUCUUGAGUUCUGUUGGGUAAUUUCUCUCAAUCAUUACGUAAUUGAUUGAUGGGAAACAUGAGACACCAGUUAUUAGAUUAUGUCUUGAGUUCGAGUCUCAUAUGAAAUCCAACUCAUCAAGAGGAUUUUGAUUUGUUCAAAAUCGGGUGUUCCCUUUUGAUCAGUAUCAAAUCUUGAUUUGUUGGGCGAUGGUACUUAACUAUUAUAUUUAUUGAAGGUUUGGUUCUGUUGAAGAUAAAUAUCCACGUCGGACUCCACCGAAGGCGUACGGUUUUGGGCCUUAUCUAUAUAUCCUGAGGAAGAUGGACCGAGAAAAUCUAUAUUUUAUAUUCCCCCACAAGAGGACUCUCUCUCUCUCUCUCUCUCUCUCUCUUUAACGAAGAAAGAAAGGGACGCACAGCGACGCUAUCUUUGAUCGCUUGGAUGAGUUCCAAAAACAUGGAUUUUGUGGCGAGAGUUCUACAUCCAAUUAAAAUAUUUUAUUUGUAAGCACUUUGGAUUUGAAUGUAAUUAAGGUGCGGGAAAUAUUCGAACCUGUGAGUGAUUGUAAGUAUGUGAUUCUUCGAUUAUCAAUGGAUUAUUUGCUAUUGACUCCUUCAGCAGAAUAGGUAUCGAGAGUUCUUUAUAGUUACUAGUUUAUUUUUCUGAUGAUUUCACGUUGAUUUAAUUAUAAGCUCCGGUUAGUUUCAGCGUUAUUUUAUAAUAAUUUGUUCAGUCUUCGGUGUUCGGUCUUCAGUCUUCGGGAGAGAGAAGGCAAUAUUUAAGGAAAGAAGCAAUAUCUUUAUUUGGUUCAGUCUUCAGUCUUCAGUCUUCGUCCGCAUGGACUACGUGGAAUAUCAGGCACCAAAUGUCUAUUCGGUAUUUUCUCCCUUUCUUCUUUCUUAUUACCUUAUUGCUUUCUCUCUCCCCAACUUUUUAAGGUGCUUCCCAUCGCACAAUGCUAUGUAAUAUAUUAAUAUUUACAUACUAAAUCAUAUGGCAGAAAAUAAGUGGGCGAUAAGCCAAAUGCAAAAUUAAUAGCAAUAUGCCAAAUCAUUUAUUAUACAAUAUUUUUAAAUUAGUCUUAGUGUAUUGAAAAUAUUAAUAACAGUAUUCAUUUAUGACGUGAACUAAAAUAAUGAUUCGUAAAGACAACUAACCCAUGUACCGGAUGAUCAGCAGCCACCUUGACAGUCAAGAUGCUACGCUUUACACCCUAUGAUUUCUAUUGUUUCUUGGAGUGCGUGGAGAGCACGCUGUUCGAAGCCUUAAGAGCAUGUCCAUAUAUCCUCGAGACAGAGGACAUAAAAUAGAGGACUAUAGAAAGUUCGGAUGAGCUUCCGGAACUCCCAUGGUGAGUUUUUGAAUAAUUGAGUUGCACAAGACAGAGGCGUUAAAUGCACCUAAAACUGAGAGGGGGUCACUGGAGGAGAUGGGCAAACAACUAUUUCUUGUGCUCAACUUUGCCUUCUUGUGGUGGUGGAGCUCAAUCCUUAGCUCCGGGGCUUGCUCGCAAAACCAAACGGAUCGGUUUGCAUUAGCGUCCUUCAAAAGCGCAAUACAUGAAGACCCAUUUGGAGUCUUGAGCUUUUGGAAUGAUUCUACCCCUCAUUGUGAGUGGCAAGGUGUUUUGUGUAGCAAAAGGCAUCUUGGGAGGGUCACAUCCUUGGUCCUGAGAUCACAAGGCUUGAGAGGCUUCCUAUCUCCUCACAUAGGUAACCUCUCUUUUCUAAGGGUCAUGGUUUUACAGAAUAACAGCUUCCACGGUGAAAUCCCACCACAGAUAGGCAACUUGCUUCGACUUCGUCUUCUUAUUCUUAGUAAUAACUCAUUUGGCGGGCCAAUAUCCUCCAACCUUUCCUGCUGCUUGAACCUCAAGAUCCUGGAUCUCAUAGAUAAUCAGCUUGUGGGGAGAAUUCAUUCCGAUCUUGGUUCUUUAACAAGGCUUAAAUUAUUGGGCUUGUCUGAGAACAGUCUCGUAGGUCCUAUUCAUCCUUCGAUCGGAAACCUCUCGUUACUACAACAAUUCUCCCUAGGAAAAAAUGCGUUGCAUGGAGAAAUACCUGAGGAAUUGUCCAGACUCAAAAGGUUGGUAUUUUUACAACUCUCAUUUAACAAACUAAUUGGCGAGAUCCCACGAGGAAUUUUUAACCUCUCCGACAUUUGUUACUUCUCUGUCGGUUAUCAGUUAUUGACCGGGACGAUUCCGUCUGCUAUUGGCACCACUCUUCCUUCUCUCCGUUACCUUGGAGCCCCUGACAACCUGUUAAUUGGGACAAUUCCAUCAUCAUUAACAAAUGCGACCAGCCUUCAAUAUCUUGCGCUUCACGACAAUAGUUUCCAUGGGCCAAUACCGAAAGAUCUGGGAAGGUUAAAGGGCCUUCGCUUGAUUGGUUUGGUACAUAACCAGUUACGGGAUGACUUAAGUUUUAUUUCUUCUUUAGCUAAUUGUUCCCGCUUAGAAUAUCUCUCACUGAACUCGAACUUGUUUCACGGAUCAUUGCCGAGAUCCAUCUCCAAUCUCUCCAGCAUUAAGGGAAUUUAUAUGUCAAACAAUCUGAUCCAAGGAACUAUUCCUUCAGCCCUAGGAAAUCUCUUCAACUUGUCUACGUUGAGUUUAGACUAUAAUUUUCUGACCGGUCGCAUUCCUGAUUCCAUCGGAGCACUUUACAAUAUGCAGCGUCUUUGUUUUCCCGGAAACAUGUUUACUGGAGUGAUACCGUCUUCAAUUGGUAACAUGACGUUGUUAAAUAUCCUUGACCUCGAGUCCAACAAUUUCCAAGGCUACAUACCGCAGAGUCUUGGCAACUGUAUGCAAUUGAAUGCGCUCGAUCUUUCAAACAACAACCUAAUUGGCUCGAUUCCAAUUGAAAUCAUGGGUCUUUCUUCCUUGUCAAUCAUCUUCAGUUUAGCGCAUAAUAAUUUAAGUGGAUCUCUUCCACUGCAAGUUGGAUCUUUGAAGAAUCUCGCCGAAUUAGAUCUAUCUUACAACAGAUUGACAGGCUUGAUCCCAGAGUCCAUCAGCGAGUGCUUGAUAUUGGAAUGGCUUCACUUAGAGGCUAAUUCUUUUCAUGGUCAAAUCCCCAAAACUUUACGUCCGUUACGGGGUCUACGAGAGCUGGAUCUUUCCAAUAAUAAUUUUUCAGGUCCAAUCCCAAGCUUUCUUGCAGAGCUCUCACUGCUUGAGUACUUGAAUAUGUCCUUCAAUGAACUAGAAGGACGGGUUCCGGAGGGUGGAAUUUUUCUUAAUGCAAGUGCUGUAUCAGUUUCCGGAAAUGAACGACUCUGUGGGGGUGUUCCGCGUCUAAAGCUUCCUCUUUGCAAAUCACCAAGCUCUAAGAAGUCUUCCACAACCAAGACCAUGGUGAUAUCGAUUGUAGCCGUCAGUUUAUGUUUAGCUUUGUUGUUCCUAUCUAUCUUUUGUUACUGCAAAAAGAAGCAUAAGAGAAUUGAUGCCUCGACAUCAUCAUCCUUCGAGCACCAAUUCUUGAGGAUUUCUUAUGAAGAACUCUUGAGAGCUACUGACAGAUUCUCCGAGACCAAUUUAAUUGGUAAAGGGAGAUACGGCAUAGUUUAUAAGGGGAUUCUUGACGGUGGUGUCACGAUAGCAGUGAAAGUGCUUAGUUUAAUGCAAAGAGGUGCUUUGAGGAGUUUUGUCUCCGAAUGUCAAACUCUAGGAACCAUUAGACACCGUAACCUCAUAAAGAUACUAAGUGUUUGUUCCAGCGUGGACUUUCGUGGCAAUGACUUCAAAGCUCUAAUAUACGAGUUCAUGGCUAGUGGAAGCUUGGAGGAGUGGUUGCACCCUAGGAGUAUCGAACGAGAUGAUGAGCAUGGCGAAUUGAGAAAUCUAAAACUAAUGCAGAGGUUAAACGUCGCCAUCGACAUAGCCAAUUCGAUCGAAUACCUCCAUAAGGGCUGUUCUCUAGCAAUCGUCCAUGGAGAUCUGAAACCGAGUAAUGUGCUUCUAGACAAUGACAUGGUGGCUCGAGUUGGAGAUUUCGGGCUUGCAAAGGUCAUUUCAACAGUGUCUGUCGAAGCCACAGGAGUUCAAGAUCUAGGCAGUUCAACUUCAAUAGCAGUAAGAGGAUCCAUUGGUUACGUGCCUCCUGGUAUGUAUUUAUCAUAUUUUCUCGAUUAGUUUUUGGUUGAUUGCGAUAGUAAUAUGAGAGAAAGUCAAAAGUUUGAAUAAACAAUGAUUUGAUGUUAUGUUAUGCUUUGUAUGCUCUGACACCUAUUUUUCCUAACACAAUUUCCUCUUUCUCCUAUUAAUAACUUCAGCCGAAAAAGAAAUUACUUAUCUUUCUCUCGUUCGUUUUUUAUCCAGUAUCAUGUUCAUGAUGUGAAAAUGGGUUGUGUCUAAUAUUGUCGUAUAGUCAAUUACAGUACAAGAAAUUGACGAGAAUUCACGAUUCUCUUAUGCCAUGACUUAAGAUCUUGACAAUAAGUAAUUGACCGCUUACCGUGGACCUUUUCCUAUAUAGUAUGAUAUAUGAAUUAAACUAAAUCCAGAUCAUGAAAAUGAGGAGCUUCAUGUGGAUCUUAUGUGCGUUCAGUCACAACCAAUGGUUUAAAUUUAGUUGACACAUGUAGCAAGUUCACUAAAAAAUUUCUCCCAAGGCCUUCAUUUCAUGUAUUUUCUUCCUUUUCUGUUUUCGCCUGUACCCUGCUAGAGCACAAAGUCAUUAUAGAUGUUUAGGCAAUUUGUUUAGCAAACAGGUGACAACUUUGGGUGCACUAAGUAGUUUUGGAGAAAGAAAAUUUCAUAUCUUGUUAACUGAUCUUUUGUGCACUUUAUAAAUCCUAAAAUCUCAUUUCAUUACAGUUGAUACAUUCUGACUUUUGUGACAUUUUUUACCACUAAGCAUGCGAUAGGCGCUAAAAAUUAUCUAUAGCUAAUAAACCUAGUGAAAGUCAAACAAAGAGUACGAAAUUAAAAAAACCAGCAAGGGGUCUGUAACUCUCUACCUUGCUUCGACAAAGGAUUCCCUGGCCUCUACCGUGCACGGAGAGCCCGACCGUGGGGUGAGUGAGGGCUUGCAAGCCAUCGCUCUAUGUUGGGCGCGCGACUGGCAGGAGUCCUCACAAUUGUCUUGGCAAGCUCUUGCAAGUAGACACCAAGCAAAAUCCCACGUGAUCCAGGAACUUCUUCUAUAAAUUAAAUUCGAAAGAAAGUUUUUGUUCAUUCUUAUUUAAUGUAUUGAUGAAAUUCUCAGAGUACGGCAUGGGACAAAAGGUUUCCACACUUGGGGAUACAUACAGUUACGGCAUUCUAUUAUUGGAGAUGUUCACUGGGAAGAGACCCACCGAAGAGGCUUUUGAGCAUAGUCUUAACCUUCAUAGCUUUGUCCGAAUGGCUCUUCCAGAUCGAGUGAUGGACAUCGUAGACUUAAGACUUUGGAGUGAAGCUGGUGAUCAACAACAGGAGAUUAGGAUCAGAGACUGCAUUAUCUCUGUAUUUGAAGUCGGAGUUGCAUGUUCGAUGGAAUCACCACCGAAUCGGAUGAACAUGACUGAGGCGAUCAGGAAAUUACUUUUGAUCAAGGCAAGUUUUGAAACCAAGAGAUGAGGACAGGUCUGUAGCUAAAGUCAGUUUUCUUGUUUCAUCUUGAAACUCUUUCACUAGUAGAGAAAAUCAUCGUGCAAAGGUAGUGUUAGGAAAUUGACAUGAAUGUCUCCUUAACUAGUCUAUCUACCCAUACCUAUUAUGCAUAAAUUACAUCAAUAUCUUUCGUAGAAAGUGGAUGUAUGGGGUUAUAGUCUUCCUACUUCUACCAAGUGACCAUGUAAAAUGUGAUAAUUUGCUUAUCUGCAUGGUUCUCUUCAUUUCUGAUGCCAUUGUGGAUCGAUGCAUUGCUUAAUUACCAUGGAUGGGCCAUUGCCCUCGCAUCUCUCUCUCCACACGCGCUUGUGUACGAGAAUGGGACCUCACGGUGAGGUCACAAAAUCAAGGCCAAUUCUUAAUGUCGCGAUUAACCAAGAGUCUACCGUCAAUUGGAGACCAAGCUUGAUCAUCCAAUAAAGAUAUAGAGUUAACAAACACGUAAAUGGGACAAGAUCAAAAAGGAAACAUGGACGCAUAUUUAUUGCACUCCUCGUUGUGCUUAUCACACUGUCUAACGAUCCAUGUCAAGUCUUCCCACUCAACCAACCCUCCCUCUUUUCUUCACCAUUAGCCACCGUCUCCAGCCGUUUGUGGUCACCUAUCAUUAUCGUCGUCUCCUCCUUGUCUCAUCAGUAUCUCCGUCAUAUCAUCCACGACCAUCUUUACUUUCUUUGAUUGCUGACCCAAAACACUCUUCCCUCACUCUGCCUUUUCUCCCACUGCCAAAUCUCUGAGGUCUCAGAACCACCAUUGAUGAUUUGUUUUGGCCAUCCUGGCCCCUGAGAUCUCACCGAAAUCUCAAUGGACAGGCCAGAUAUGGUGGAGGCAUCCCCUGAUCUGGAGACGUCCUCUAAUCUCAUCAUCGACAACUUAAUUGUAGAUGACUAGAGGAGCUUGAAGCGAGUUCUUGAGACCCGCUGAAGGCAUAAACUUUCUCGACCACCCUUUAACGAGAGAGGGAGAGAGGUUGUCACGCCCCGGACCUUCCCUCAUCAUGGAAACGCAACAUCCACCACAAGAUUAAUUUGUGACGUCCCAAGAGGCGUCACCGGUCCAUUAAUUUUUAUCUUUCAAUUAAGCACAUGUGGAAGCGUACGACUCAAUCACUUGAUCAAUAACAACAAAUGGAUAGUAAGGAAAACACAUAUAUACUACACAACUUAUAUAUGCUUCAUUAAUAUAUUGGAACUUUAUAAUUACAAACCCACUUCUUUAGGGCCAUUGCGAUUUUCGCCCCAUGCAAAAAGAUACAGGGGACGGUUAAAGGGGUUCACAAGCUUCAGGGUGAGCUAAUCUCCACUAGCGAGAUACUAACCAAAAGUGGCUCCCCUAUGAGGACCAACUACUUAAGCAUCACCUACUAGAUUGUCUGGUGAGCCAUCGUCCUCGUUUAGUCUGAGCGAACUACAGAACUCAUGGAGGGGUCCGAAGAGAUCCCCUUCGAACCAUGCGUCCUAGGCCUAGUAACUGUGAGGGACGAGAUCAUUAUAGCCCCCUCUACCCAGACAAUUAUAGUGAUCCUUCAAAAUACGGUAUCCUCCCUAAACACGUUCAUCAUCGUGACCUCCAUACUCAUGGGUACCCAAAAUCGCAUGAAGCGAGUAGGUGGUGGAUUCAUACCGAUUGGCCUGAAAAAGGUUAAGCAACAAUAAAUGAGUUGAAAGGAGGACUCGGCGGAGGAAGAACAAGCAGAGAGAGAGAGAGAGAGAGGGUAACGGAGCCGUCAAAGAAACGAGAAGGUAGGAAGCCGGGGUGGGGCCCAGCGUGUACACGUGUCGAUUCCCGCGUCGCUCGUUUCCGUACUCCCCCUCCACCAGUGACGUGCCGAGAAGAACAGCCAAAACCAUCUCCUCCUUCUUCUUCUUCUUUUGUAAGGUGUCAGGGGACGCCGCCGUCUAUGGCUUCUUGUAGUGGUCAUCGCCGUCGCCGGAGAGAAGGUGGAGCAGUCGAGCGGGAGGCCGUGACCGGUCCUCCUCGUCGUGGGAGCCGUUGCUUCUUCAAGUUCAUACUCUCCGGCGCGCUUGACUCUGGAAGCUCGUGAGUCGGUCAAGUCUUCGCACUCUGUUUUAAGAGUUUCUCGCGCUCUGUGCUGUGUACCCAUCAACCUGGAAAACGGGCCCGCGCGUUUGGUUUGGAAUGAACGAUGAACUUUUCACUUCCAACUUAAGAAAGAACAACUGGGAAUUCUCUAACACGGCUGUCGAUCGAGCAAAAUUUCUCCUUUUUCGUACUUCGAUGAUAUGAAAGUCUUCAUCGGACGUGCGACCAGUUGUCCUAAACCAUGGUGAUGGCGGGCCUCAUGGCUGCUGCCAUGUCUUCUGCUAAAGUUUACUUUUUUGUAUAUAUAUUUCACGAUUUGGGUCGAUAUGGGUUUUCGGACUAUAGUGUUAUGUGCAUGGUUCAGGUUUCCACAACAUCCUUUGAACGUUGCUAUUCGGAAAAGAAGAGUAAUUUCAUGGAUACACAGAGUUAACUUACAGAUGUUGAUAUGACAAAAGUAAUGGGCUUUUCCUACGGUGCCUGGCUUGUCCAAUGAAGCAUCCAUCUCUACAAAUCGAUCCACAACUAUUUCGGAGUACACUUGUGGAAACUGAUCUUUCAUUCAUGUUGCAGAAUUUAAAAUUCCUUAGAUCUUUUUUUUUCCCCUGUUCUCUGCACUUUGGUUUGACUAUGAUGAGUUAUUAUGAUGGACCCGUAAACCUUUUCAUAAUAGGGAAUUCCAAAGAAUUUCUUGAGAAGAUGUGGGAAGGAUCUCUCAAACUCGGUGCUUCUUAAGGUCCCUGACGGUUCAACCUGGACUAUAGAACUAGAAAAGCGUAACCAUGACAUGGUUUUGUUGGGGAAAGGGUGGCGGGAAUUCAUGGAGCAUUACUCCAUUGGUCAUGGUCACUUCAUAGUUUUCAAAUAUAAAGAGAACUCCACUUUUCGCGUAAUAAUAUUCGAUAAGAGUGCUUCAGAGAUGGAUUAUUCCUCGAGCAGGGGUGAAACAUCAUACCUUGGGAGCGAACUUCCCUCGCCAGAAGCAGAAGAUGUUGUAGAAACAGAUCGUCUGGAGGAUGUCAAACCCCGUCAAAGAAUGAGGAUGGAGCCACAUUUACCUUGUUCUCAGCUAAGUCCGAGUUUCUCACCGCGAGGGUCUGAAGGUGUGACUCUUCAUUUUAGAAGUCACGUAUAUUCUUGCAUCACUCUCUUUUGUUAGUUCUUUUCCAAAAAUACUUGUGAACUUUUUACAAUCUAAAGCCGCUAAACUGAUAUGGUAUCAUUAGAUGAAAAAAAAGGCCUCUGCUAUGGAACAGAGUAGCUUUGCUAUUUCUAUUUGUAGCCAUGGGAAGUAGGUGGAUUGAUUUUAUCCCUAUCCCUUGUUUUGGAGCUAAGUGGAAGCUGGUCUCCUCCGUAUGUAGUUUCCAUGGAUACUGACCCUGAAGAACCACAUCUAGCUCAAGCUCAAGCUGGCCUGACAGAGAGGAGUAAACAGCCAACAUGCGGAGCGAGUCAUUCUGAGCUGGAUUUUCAUGGUCCUAUGCUUCCAAGGCCUCUCACUACUCCUGAAUUAACCCGCAAAAUUAAUUCCAAAUAUCCCUUUUUCAUAAAGGUGAUUAGGCGAUCUUAUAUGAGUAAACUGGUAAGUCUUGAGCUCAUCACGAGUAUAGUUCAAUUAUGACUGCUGGUACCUACAAUGCCAUGAUCACAUUAAUUGUGAUGUCCACCUAUUUGAGAUUUUUUUCUCCCAUCCAUAUAGUGUUUAUGAUAUAAUACAGUGGAUUACUACAACAAUACUCAUUCCAGGGAUUUCUCAUUCCACUUAAAUAAUUUCAUGUCUUGGUUGUUCAAACAUGUGCAUGUGCAGAGUAUUCCAGGUGGAUUCAUCAAGCAGCAUAAGCUGGAAAAGCAAAGAGCAACUCUAAGGCAUGCCAACAGAUCAUGGUCAGUGAGGCUUGGCGGGAGCAACAGACAUGUCAGAGGGGCUUUGUGUCUGUUCUUUUCUGCUGGUCGGGAUGCAUUUGCAAGAGAGACUCAUCUGCACGUAGGACAUGUCUGCAUGUUCAAGCUAAUUGAUAGGGAUGAUAUUGUUUUCGAAGUCUCCAUUUUGAGUGGUGAGGACUUGAUUUACAUUUUUAAAAAUGAGUACUUGAGGUGUAACUUUAGGCUGUUUAUCGCAUGACUUGCAUUCUGGGUUUAUAAUUAUGCCUCCCUUAUUUGGUUGUUGUGCCUCUAUGCCAUUUUAAAAUAUACUCGUACGUUUUUAUAAGAACUUUGUGUGUCGAUUAGUAUUGUAAUAAUUGAGGCGGCAUUCUAGUUGAUUUGUCACUUCCGAUGUGAAGAGCACUCAUGUCAAAUUUUCUGAAUUUUUCAUUUCAUGGUAAUCAUAAUUUACAAUCUAGGUCAAUUGAAGAAACGCUCACAUUAAAGUCCUUUUAUUCUCAGUUCUUCGCGGGAACAAACUGUCCAAACGCAGAGUGAAUCAUCAUGAGCUGGGUAUUCGUGGUCCUACACCUCCAAAGCCCCCCACUACACCUGAAGUAGCCAGUGAAUUUGAGUCGGAGCAUCCCUUCUUCAAAGUGGUGAUACAGCAAUAUCAUAUGAAACAAAUGGUAAGAUCUGAAGCCUAGUCCACAACUGGCAUAUCUCGAGUUCAAUUUCAAUUGCUAUAAAUCAUGCCUCGAUAUUGUGUUUUCCCAAGUUGAUUUUGUUUGUAUUGGAAACUUAGAUGACAUAAUAUAUUUCUUAAAGUGUCCAUGGAGAAACCUAAUGAUGGAGUAACGCGGAACCAUAAAAAGAUGAAUUAAGUAAAGACUGUAACUGGGUCGGGACUGUCCUUUACUGGGAUGCCCCACAAGCUGCUCUAUUCACUAUCCAAGUGAAAGGAUGGACCGUCACUUUAAUGGUAAACUAACUGAAAAUAGCUAUUAAUGGAGUCACUUCUUUAAUAAUGCUUUUGAUUGCAGGUUAAGAUUGAUAACUUUCAUAAGCCCCUUAAUGCUUGUUGAUUAAAACUCUUGAACUAGCAAUUAUCGGCAAGAAUAUGCCUCAUGUGCUUCUUCUUUUUCACGUGAGUGUAUUCUUAUGAGAUGUCCUUUUAACAUAUGGUGGUUUGUUCAUGCAUGUAUGAAUGUGCAGUAUGUUCCAAAUCAAUUUUCCCAGCAACAUAUUCAAGAAAACAAGGAAAUGGCGACUCUCAGGUUUUCAGAUAGAUCGUGGCUGGUGAAGCUCUUAAGCUAUACGCAUAAUAAAUACCAGGGGGUGUAUUUCUCUGUUGGUUGGAAAGAAUUUGCAAGAGAAACUCAUCUGUGCGUGGGAAAUAUCUGUAUGUUUGAACUCAUUGAUAGUGAUGAUGUUGUCUUUCAAGUCUCCGUUUUUAGUAGUGCUGGUAAGGAUCUGAUUCACAUUGAUUGAGAUGAACAUUUUCUAUUUUAUUCGGUAGUUGUGAAUCAUGAAAAGUAUACCUUUUAUGUUUCUGUUUUCUUCUUCUUUGCACUAGUCUCAAUUCGAUUUUCACGAUGACAGUAAUUUUCACACCAAAUGACUAUCAAUUUCUCAUUGUUUUACUACAGGUGGGACAGAGAAAUCUACAUGCAGAGCGAGCCGUUCUGAGCUGGAUUUUCAUGGUCCUGCACUAUCAAGGCCUCUCACAUUGCCCGAAUUCUAGCAAUAUUGAUUCAGAGCAUCCCUUUUUCAAAAAGGUGACCCCCCAAAGUUAUUUCCAUAGCCUGGUAAGAUCUAAAACUUAAAUCAUCACUCACAUAUCUCAUAUCAUUUUUCACCGUUUUCAUGUAUCUGCUAUUAAAAACAUGCACAUGUGCAGAGUGUUCCGGUUGGAUUUUUCAAGCUACAUCUUCAGGAAAACAAACAAAUAGCGACUCUUCGGUAUUUGGACAGAUCGUGGCCAGUGAAGCUCAUUAGGAGCCUUGGACAGGCCAGAGGUGCUCCGGCUCUGGCCUUCUCCACCGGUUGGUGUGCAUUCGCAAGAGAAACUGAUCUGCGUGCAGGAAAAGUCUGCUUGUUUGAGCUCAUCGAUAGGGAUGAGACAGUGUUCGAAGUCUCCAUUCUGAGAGGUGCUGGUAAUGACCUGAUUCAUGUUAAUGGAGAUGAGCAUCGGAAGUAUUACCUGAGGCCAUUGCAGCAUCGAAAUGAAAUCAGGGGUUCCUAAUGAUGCCUCCUUAUAUUAAGCAGCGCAGCAGCGAAUCAAUCAAAAGCACUCUUUUCCGCUUUUUGUUCUCCUUUCUUCCUUUUUGUGCUAGUUUGAAUUCUAUGACUACCUUGCUUGGAAAGAACCUCCCAAAUCAGUGAAUCUUUAUGGUUUUGCACAGCGGCUCAACCUGACCAGUGGAUCUACAGGACAGUGAAGACAUAAUGCUCUGAUGUAUGUUCAUGGAGUAUUUCUCCUUUUAUAUGUUUUGUCUUUCAAAUAUUAUGGCUUGUCCUCGUCCUCUUCGUUCCCGGAGAGAAUACGAAGCUGUUGCCGAGCAGGAGACGACUCCUAGUAGAAGCCCUCACUUCUUCAGGAUCAUAUUCUUCGGGAUCGUACUCUCUGACAAGCUAAUUUGCUAGGUUAGGAGUUUUGAUCAACACCCUUGAGAGGUUCUUGAAAGUCAUUGAUCUCAAUUAAGCAGCAAUCCAAAGCAUUUUCUUUUAGAAGUGACUUGUCAUUUAGGGCUUGUUUGGUAAAAUCUAUCUUUGUUCCGAGGAACAAAAUUUCCGUUCUUUUGAUCCGAGGAACCAAAAAAGAAUACAAAUGUGUUUGGUAAAACUUUAGUUCUCGGGAACAAAAAAUACAUUUGGAACAGAAACAAGAAGUAGAAAAAAGUAAGGGAACAAUUUCUAAAAUCAAAUUUUUUCUCUUCUUUUUUCUUCUCUUUUCUGGCGACCUCGCCAGAGCGUCGCUAGCCCCCAGAGAUCACUAGCCCCCAAAGACGUCAAGCCACGGUGAGGGCCUCGCCUGGGUUAGAUUGCACGGGCAAGGUCAACCUUGCGCCACUUGGGCAAGGUCGGGCCUCGCUGGUGGCCUCAAUGCUUGCUUGGCCACCGAGGCCACCAGUGAGGCUCUGGCCCUCGCCUUGGUCUAGCAAGGUUCCAGUGAGCUCACUAGACCUUGCCUACUCACUGGACCUUGCCUAGCUGGUCGCGAACCACUGCCAAGGCGGAUGACCAGCUACAAAGGAGGAAGAAGGAAAAAUAUAAUAAAAAUAUUUAAAAAUUAUACAAUUUUACCAAACACAUUUCUAUGUCCGGAAUAGAAAUUUUUUACAGCUUCCAAGCGUGUUCUUAUACUCAGAAAUUGUUCUAGAAACAUUUAAAAAAAAAUCAUUUCUCAUAAAAAAAUUGUUCCAUGGAAUAGAAUCGUUACCAAAUGCACUGUUAGUUUUCUAUACAAUUCAAAAUCAACUUUGGGAAAAAGCACAAUGCCGAAGCCUCAAUCUGGUCGGCAUGUAAGUAUUUCUAAUGUUCAAAUUAGUGGCGGAAAAUAUCACUGCGAAUUUUGUUUUGCAUUGACGGUAAAUGGUCUAUUUUUUAUUAUUUUUUCUUUGAUGUUACAAGAGGCGAAAGCCUGAAAAAUAGAGUGGUUGGCCAUGGCGAAAAUUUUGUAUACAUGAUCUAAUUCUACAUGCCAUGAUCUAUAUGCCAAAAUUAGCAUAGCAAUGCAAUUACGAAUUUUAUAAGGAUUUGCACAAGCAAUCGACCUAUCUCUUGGACUUUCAACCUUCAACUUUCAACUUUCAACUUUAAACUCCUUGCGAGAUUGGUGUUCAGUGCACUCUGGAAAAAUAAAAUCGAAAUGACAUUAUGUUGGAAAUUUAAGUAAGAACAAUUUGAACAUGACGGGGAUCAUCAUGGAUGGGUCGUAACAUGUACAUAUAUGAAUGUAACCUAUAAGGGCGAAUAAGAGGCUAAAUAUUAAAAAAGUUGUUGAAAUAGCUUAUUAUCAUGAAAAUAGGUGAUAGUUAGAUAUGAAAAGAAAUGAUGGUUGAUCAUGAAAAGUGAUAAUAAUGGAGAAAAGGUACAUAUUCUCAAUAAAUGUAUUGAUUGGCUAUAUGUAAGUAUGACCAAAUCAUACAUUAUUCAACACUCCUGUUUAAGAAUAAUAGCCUUCUCUUUUUCAUAACUCUCUCUUCUUCAUAUUAUUCCGUAAUAUUAUUUUCUUUUUUUUUUCACACGCGAGUUUGAUAAUAUAUUCAAGAGAGAAAUUGAGUAAUUCUUGAACUCAUUUUCUUUUGUAGCUUUACUGUAUAUCUUGGAGGUAAGUGCGCCUUAAUAAUUGCGCAAUUAUUGGCACACCCGCACACGGGUAUGGUGGGGUCUAUCCCACACCCAAUCAUUUCUUUAGGUACACUAAAGAAAUCUCACACUUACUAAUUGACCUAUUUUCUCCAACUUUUCUUACAUGGGAUAAGGAAACAUGCACUUAGUUUGUUUUUACAAACAAACUUCCAACAAUAUUCACAAUGUCUAUUUUGGUUUAGUUAGUUCGUGCAAUCGUGUACUACAGAGAACAUAUCCUUUAUCUCAUUAUUUAUAUCAUGAUUACAUCAUGAGAUAAUUAACUUUAACAAUCAAUAACCACUUGAUUAACUUUUCUUUUCUUCCUUAAUUAUAAUUAUUUAUAUCAUGAUUACAUCAUGAGAAUUAUUGUGACGUCUAUGGUCAAUGGAAUCGGAACUCCACUGCCGGGUACAAUAUAUGGGAACUUUGGUUUAUGCUGAUGUAGUUACCCACAAAUUAAGACAAACAGGACAUCUGCCCAUAUAUGGAAAUAAUAAAUUGACUCUUGUUUAAGCAAUUAUGGGAUUAUUGAUUCGAAUAGACGUCGUGAAGGGAAAAAAAAUGAUCAAAUGACACAAAUUGCCACUCUAGUAAUCACAUAUGAAUAAAUUUUAUAUAAAAUCAUAUCAGAGUAACUAAUUUUUUAAAAGAACAAUUUUUAAAACCCAUUUUUGAUUAAAAAAAUGCUUGAAUUAUAUUAGUGUUGUGGAGAAAAAUGAUAUAUAUUUUGAAUAUUUACACAAUGUGAUAGAGGCGAUGUCAAUUCCACCUCCAUUUUGGCCAGUGCACUUAUUGUUUUAGGUUUUUUUUUUGUUAGUCAUACUCUAUUCCUACACUAACUCGAACUCUCACUCUCAGAUUUUUGUCUUGCCUCCCUAAAGGACGUGAGAGUCGAAACUCAUACUAGAAACUAAUUCGUCCACAUCCCAACCCUCUGAGAAUGUGGGGAUUCGAACCUCCCACUUCACCCUUCCAUCUUGGAAAGGUAGCCAUUGAAGCAAACCCCAGUGGUUUAUUGACUGAAAUACUCUCUCUCUAUUUUUAUUUAUUUAUUAGACUAAUCAACAAAAAUGACUUUAUUUCUAUCAUUUCUUUAAUCCAUUUCAUAAUAUAAAUGCAUUAUUAUAGCUAGCAAGACGUCAUCUUAUCUUUUGUUAUCACUUUGCUUAUAGAAGGUUGUUAAUUUUAAUUUAUGACCUCAUAUUUUUUAUCUUUAAAUCUAAAUAGAAGAUUAUAAAUUUAUAUUUAUGACAGCCCAUGAAUUCACAAUCAAUUACCUUUUUUUUUUUUUAAAUUCAAAUAGUUUGAGCUAAUCUAUAUUUCAAUGCUGAAAAUUAAAUUCCAAUCUUAUUAUUUAGCCGAUCUUGACCUUAUGAGUGUUUUUCCCAAUUAAGUUUGUAGGUUUCUAAAGUUAAUAUUGCUUAUUUUGUGCUUUCUUUUGGAACUUUUCAUAUUUUAAUUCAAAUUGCAAGAUGAGGAUUGAAAAUCUAGUUACAUCUCUUUCACUUUCAAAUCCACAAAUUAUUUUGGAGGAAAGUUUUAAGCAUAUUUUAAAGUUUUAAUCCACAUGCUAUGAGAAUAAAUCUUUAAUUGAUAUUAAGUAUCUAAUUCAUGGUAGAUGUACAAUAAGAAGUUCCCUCUUUUUUCCCUUUUUGUGCUUAUGCUUUGUUAAUAUCUAGGUAUGAUCCAAAUAUAAACAUGUUUAAAAUUUGAUCAUGCUACUAACACAUUAACCUUUUCCAUAAUUUGAUCCAUUAUUUUUUUUUUCAUUUUUUAUCAAGAUCAACUAGAUAAUUAGAUUGAAAUUUAAUUUUCAACUUUGAAAAAUAGUUUAGCUCAAAUUAUUUAAUAAAAAAUAGGCAACUGAACGUGUAUUCAGAAGCUGUCAUAAGUAAAAAAAAAUUAAUCUUCCAUAUAGCUUUUGUGAGUAAAAUAUUAGACCAUAAUUAGAAUGAACAACUUUCUCUAAGCAAAGUGAUAAGAUAACAUGAUGCAGGAUGAGAUAAUAUCUCGUUGGGUGUAAUGAGGCAUUUGUAAGUGAUAAGCAUCCGGUCAUCUGUUACUUUUGCAUAGGGUCAUUUUGGUUCCAAAAAUCAUUUUUCCUGAAUUAAAGCUGUCCGAAAGAGGGCAAAAUUGAGAAAGAAAUUAUGAAAGAAGAGAGAGCCAGAGUUUCGAAAUUUAGGGCUGACUCAGUUGGAUAUGACCCUCACCGGCUCUAAGUGGAGGGGAAGAAAUUAAAGAAAAGAAAAAAGAAAAAAAAUUUCAAAAUUUCAAAAAAUAUUAUUUAAAAGGUCCUUGUAGUCAAAAUUGGCCAACACAAAUGCAAAAAGAUUUUAGAUUGAAUUGAUAAUAAAAAAUAUUCAUAAUUGAAUUGACACAAUUACAAUAUGUUUAUGAUAUUUUUGGUAAUUCUCUCAGGCUCUUGUGCAUUUUCGUAACAUCUUAACGUUUUGUGUUGAAACAAAGAUGUUUGCAAGAAAGUGACAAUACAAAGAAAGCGGUUCUUGCAUAACCUUUUUGCAUUCCUUGCCUUUUAAGCGAUCAACAAUAUGUUUAUGGCUAAAUAAAAAUAAUAUUUCGAAAAAAUUACAUGGAUAAGCGCUUACCUGUAGGUGACGUGUUUCCAAACGAACUAUUCUCCAAUUUAAAGUAAUCUUUAUUUGGAGGCCCACCAUUCUACCGAAGAAGUGAAUGCGCUGAUUUAUGUGCAUUUAUGCCAAUUUGAUAGGACUGAGAAAUCAAUAUUGGGAAUUUGAGGACUAUUUUUAAGUGCUGACAAUCUUAAGUGUUAAAGUUAAAAUAAAAAGUUUUAGAUAGGGUACCAAUAAGUUUAUUUCCUUUAUUAUUAGCGGAUCAGAUUGGAUCAUAUUUUAUUAGGAGAGUAACAUUGUAACUUCGGGCCAUGGCCCUUUUUUUAUUACAAAAAAAAAAAAAUGUUUGACAAUCAUUGAAUAUUUGUAAUUUCUUUCCAAUUACAAAACUACAAUCAUAUUUGAUAGGUCGGAACCAUAUGAUCAGUAAGAUUCUAACUACUAUAAAUUAUUUUCUCAAUUUGAAUGAAUUAAGUAAUCCAUUUUUAUACGAAUUGGAUAAGUAAAUUUAUAACUUAAUUAAAUCUACUAAAUUAAUGAUAAUUGAAGUUAUCUAACAAGCUUAAUUUCUAACUAUGACAUGAGAGAGGACUCCGACCCUCUCCCAAAUCUAGAUAAGGGCCUAUGGGGCGUUGCUGGGGUUGAUGAAGGUCACCAACCAUCCCGAGGCCUUGCCGAACCCCCAUCCAUCACCGAGGCAUCAUAGGUUCUCCCUGGUGGGUCUUCUAUUAUUAUUAAAUAUUUAGCCUUGUCUUAAUCUAAUUUAACUAAGAUUUAGGUUAACGUAUAAUGAUUUCACUUAAACAACACUUUAAUCUUAUGCUUAGUCUUUAGUAUGUCAAUGUUACAUAAAAGAGAGAAAAUAAAAAGUAAAAAUGCAACAACCAUUAUCUAUUAGUUAAGUUGGACGAAAUUAAUGAAAUGACUUAAUUGUGUCAAUUUGAUAAAUUUUAUGAAUUGAUUGCACACUUUUAAAGUUUUAACGUUGGAUCGCACUUUUAUACUAAAUUUUAUAAACUCUAGUGCACUUAUCGCUAAAUAGAUUGCUCCAAAUGAUCAACAACAUUGAGGAACCAAAUUCUAUUGGGGUAAGGACAAGCUCUUGGAGUCCUCCAUCAAAUCAACAGUUAACAUUUAAUGGAGAUGGCAGUGGAUAGAUAACAAAGGGGCCAUAGGUAUUAUUGCACAAUCGGAUGGAGGCUUCGUUGUCCAAGCGUGGAGUGGAAGUGGAAGCUGUGACACUUCUUUUUGCAUGUAAAGCUGCUUAGUCUCUUGACAUCCAUAAAGUGAUGUUUGGAAGUGAAUGGAGUUUGAAGUGGACUUGUUAUAUUAUUAAUGAAGUUGCUCAUGAGCUUUCAAAAUGGGCCGACAUAUGCUUUCAUUUUAAAUGAUCUCUCUUCUAGAAUUAAAAGUAUAGUGUUAGCAGAGUCAUCUUUAAUUUAUCAUUUAAAUGUAAGCUCUAGUUUCUCCUCGUAAUAUUUGAACUACUUUGCUGCGAAGGAAGAUUUGUUUUAGCCACAAAAAAAAAAAAAAAAAAAAAGGAAACUGAUCAACAACGGUCUUGUCUUGUCUUGGCUUGUCUUCCGGACUUCCGGACUGAUUCGUACCGCGAAGAGACAGCCACCAAAAGGAUAAGGAUAAGCCACGUAACGCUCACAAAGAGUCCACCCAUCAGUUGCCACGUGUACACAGUGGGUCCCACUCCGACUCCGUCAGCUCCUCCCUUUCCGUUUCUUCACGGCGGCGGCGAAGCCUCCGGCGAGGGGCCCGGAGAUAGUGCGAAGACCAGCUCCAUGUCGCGUCGCGCCCGCUCGCUCUCACGCCUCAGCCCGUUCGAGAACCCUUCUUUCGCCUCCACACUUCCUCCGUUCUCGACUCGUCAUGGAACCGGCAUGCGCCCACCAGGCGUUCGACGAAAUUACUCUGUGGGGAUGAAGCAAAAUUCAACGUCGUGGCCCGCCACGGGGACUCGGAGGAGGAAGAACAGGCAGAGAGAGAGAGAGAGAGAGAGAGAGAGAGGGUAACGGAGCCGUCAAAGAAACGAUAAGGUCGGUAGGAAGCCGGGGUGGGGCCCUGCGUGUACCCGUGUCGAUUCGCGCAUGGACUGGAGCGCCCAAUAAUUUCUCCUCCCUCCGUCGCCGAACCACGCGUCGCCCGAUUCCGCACUCCCCCUCCACCUCCACCACUGACGUGCCGAAGAAGAGCAGCCAAAACCAUCUUCUUCUUCUUCUUCUUCUUCUUUAUCUUCUUCUUUUGUAAGGAGUCAGGGGACGCCGCCGUCUAUGGCUUCUUGUAGUGGUCGUCGCCGCCGCCGGAGAGAAGGUGGAGCAGCCGAGCGGGAGGCCGCGGCCGGUCCUCCUCGCCGUGGGAGCCGUUGCUUCUUCAAGUUCAUACUCUCCGGCGCGAUCGACUCUGGGAAGCUCGUGAGUCGGUCAAAUCUUCGCACUCUGUUUUUAAGAGUUUCUCUUGCUCUGUGCUGUGUACCCAUCAACCUGGAAAACGGGUCUGCGCGUUUGGUUUGGAACGAGCAAUGAACUUUUCGUUUCAAGCCGAAGAAAUAAAGAACAGGGUAUUCUCUAACAUGGCUGUCGAUCCAGCAAAAUUUCUCCUUUUUUCGUACUUCGAUGAUAUGAAAGUCUUCAUCGGAUGUGCGACCAGUUGUCCUAAACCAUGGUGAUGGCGGGCCUCAUGGCUGCUGCCAUGUCUUCUUCUGAAAUUUACUUUUUUGUAUAUAUAUUUUACGAUUUGGGUCGAUAUGGGUUUUCGGACUAUAGUGUUAUGCGCAUGGUUCAGGUUUCCACAACAUCCUUUGAACGUUGCUAUUCGGAAAAGAAGAGUAAUUUCAUGGAUACACAGAGUUAACUUACAGAUGUUGAUAUGACAAAAGUAAUGGGCUUUUCCAAUGAAGCAACCAUCACUACAAAUCAAUCCACAACUAUUUCGGAGUACACUUGUGGAAACUGAUCUUUCAUUCAUGCUGCAGAAUUUAAAAUUCCUUAGAUUUUUUCUUUCCCCUGUUCUCUGCACUUUGGUUUGACUAUGAUGAGUUAUUAUGAUGGACCCGUAAACCUUUUCAUAAUAGGGAAUUCCAAAGAAUUUCUUGAGAAGACGUGGGAAGGAUCUCUCAAACUCGGUGCUUCUUAAGGUUCCUGGCAGUUCAACCUGGACUAUAGAACUAGAAAAGCAUAACCAUGACAUGGUUUUGUUGGGGAAAGGGUGGCGGGAAUUCAUGGAGCAUUACUCCAUCGGUCAUGGUCACUUCAUAGUUUUCAAAUAUAAAGAGAACUCCACUUUUCGCGUAAUAAUAUUUGAUAAGAGUGCUUCAGAGAUAGAUUAUUCCUCGAGCAGGGGUGAACCAUCAUACCUUGGGAGCGAACUUCCCUCGCCAGAAGCAGAAGAUGUUGUAGAAACAGAUCGUCUGGAGGAUGUCAAACCCCGUCAAAGAAUGAGGAUGGAGCCACAUUUACCUUGUUCUCAGCUAAGUCCGAGUUUCUCACCGCGAGGGUCUGAAGGUGUGACUCUUCAUUUUAGAAGUCUCGUAUAUUCUUGCAUCACUCUCUUUUGUUAGCUCUUUUCCAAAAAUGCUUGUGAACUUUUUACAAUCUAAAGCCGCUAAACUGAUAUGGUAUCAUUACAUGAAAAAAAAGGCCUCUGCUAUGGAACAGAGUAGCUUUGCUAUUUCUAUUUGUAGCCAUGGGAAGUAGGUCGAUUGAUUUUAUGCCUAUCCCUUGUUUUGGAGCUAAAUGGAAGCUGGUCUCCUCCGUAUGUAGUUUCCAUGGAUACUGACCCUGAAGAACCACAUAUGGCUCAAGCUCAAGCUGGCCUGACAGAGAGGAGUAAACAGCCAACAUGCGGAGCGAGUCAUUCUGAGCUGGAUUUUCACGGUCCUAUGCUUCCAAGACCUCUCACUACUCCUGAAUUAACCCGCAAAAUUAAUUCCGAAUAUCCCUUUUUCAUAAAGGUGAUUAGGCGAUCUUAUAUGAGUAAACUGGUAAGUCUUGAGCUCAUCACGAGUAUAGUUCAAUUAUGACUGCUGGUACCUACAAUGCCAUGAUCACAUUAAUUGUGAUGUCCACCUAUUUGAGAUUUUUUUCUCCCAUCCAUAUAGUGUUUAUGAUAUAAUACAGUGGAUUACUACAACAAUACUCAUUCCAGGGAUUUCUCAUUCCACUUGAAUAAUUUCAUUUCUUGGUUGUUCAAACAUGUGCACGUGCAGAGUAUUCCAGGUGGAUUCUUCAAGCAGCAUAAGCUGGAAAAGCAAAGAGUAACUCUAAGGCAUGCCAACAGAUCAUGGUCAGUGAGUUUUGGCAGGAGCAACAGACACGUCAGAGGGGCUUUGUGUCUGUUCUUUUCUGCUGGUUGGGAUGCAUUUGCAAGAGAGACUCAUCUGCACAUAGGAGAUGUCUGCAUGUUCAAGCUAAUUGAUAGGGAUGAUAUUGUAUUCGAAGUCUCCGUUUUGAGUGGUGAGGACUUGAUUUACAUUGUUAAAAAUGAGUACUUGAGGUGUAACUUUAGGCUGUUUAUCGCAUGACUUGCAUUCUGGGUUUAUAAUUAUGCCUCCCUUAUUUGGCUUUCGUGUCUCUAUGUCAUUUUAAAAUAUACUCGUACGUUUUUAUAAGAACUUUGUGUGUUGAUUAGUAUUGUAAUAAUUGAGGCGGCAUUCUAGUUGAUUUGUCACUUCCAAUGUGAAGAGCACUCAUGUCAAAUUGUCUGAAUUUUUCAUUUCAUGGUAAUCAUAAUUUCCAAUCUAGGUCAAUUGAAGAAACGCUCCCACUAAAGUCCUUUUAUUCUCAGUUCUUCGCGGGAACAAACUGUCCAAACGCAAAUUGAAUCAUCAUGAGCUGGUUACUCGUGGUCCUAGACCUCCAAAGCCCCCCACUACACCUGAAGUAGCCAGUGAAUUUGAGUCGGAGCAUCCCUUCUUCAAAGUGGUGAUACGGCAAUAUCAUAUGAAACAUAUGGUAAGAUCUGAAGCCUAGUCCACGACUGGCAUAUCUUGAGUUCAAUUUCAAUUGCUAUAAAUCAUGCCUCGAUAUUGUGUUUUCCCAAGUUGAUUUGGUUUGUAUCGGAAACUUAGAUGACAUAAUAUAUUUCUUAAAGUGUCCAUGGAGAAACCUAAUGAUGGAGUAACGUGGAACCAUAAAAAGAUGAAUAAGUAAAGACUGUAACUGGGUCGGGACUGUCCUUUACUGGGAUGCCCCACAAGCUGCUCUAUUCACUAUCCAAGUGAAAGGAUGGACCGUCACUUUAAUGGUAAACUAACUGAAAAUAGCUAUUAAUGGAGUCACUUCUUUAAUAAUGCUUUUGAUUGCAGGUUAAGAUUGAUAACUUUCAUAAGCCCCUUAAUGCUUGUUGAUUAAAACUCUUGAACUAGCAAUUAUCGGCAAGAAUAUGCCUCAUGUGCUUCUUCUUUUUCACGUGAGUGUAUUCUUAUGAGAUGUCCUUUUAACAUACAGUGGUUUGUUCAUGCAUGUAUGAAUGGGCAGUAUGUUCCAAAUCAAUUUUCCCAGCAACAUAUUCAAGAAAACAAGGAAAUGGCGACUCUCAGGUUUUCAGAUAGAUCGUGGCCGGUGAAGCUCUUAAGCUAUACGCAUAAUAAAUACCAGGGGGUGUAUUUCUCUGUUGGUUGGAAAGAAUUUGCAAGAGAAACUCAUCUGUGCGUGGGAAAUAUCUGUAUGUUUGAACUCAUUGAUAGUGAUGAUGUUGUCUUUCAAGUCUCCGUUUUUAGUAGUGCUGGUAAGAAUCUGAUUCACAUUGAUUGAGAUGAGCAUUUUCUAAUUUAUUCGGUAGUUGUGAAUCAUGAAAAGUAUACCUUUUAUGUUUCUGUUUUCUUCUUCUUUGCACUAGUCUCAAUUCGAUUUUCACGAUGACAGUAAUUUUCACACCAAAUGACUAGCAAAUUUCAACAUGCACAUGUGCAGAGUGUUCCGGUUAAAUUUGUCAAGCAACAUCUUCACGAAAACAAACAAGUAGCAACUCUUCGGUAGGCCUCUCACGUUGCCCGAAUUUGCUAGCAAUAUUGAUUCGGAGCAUCCCUUUUUCAAAAAGUGACCCCCCAAAGUUAUUUCCAUGGCCUGGUGAGAUCUAAAGUUUAAAUCAUCACUCACAUAUCUCAUAUUCAUUUUUCACUGUUUCAUGUAUUGGCUAUUCAAAACAUGCACAUGUGCAGAGUGUUCCGGUUAAAUUUGUCAAGCAACAUCUUCACGAAAACAAACAAGUAGCAACUCUUCGGUAUUCGGACAGAUCGUGGCCAGUAAAGCUCAUUAGGAGCCUUGGACAGGCCAGAGGUGCUCCGGCUCUGGCCUUCUCCACCGGUUGGUGUGUAUUCGCAAGAGAAACUGAUCUGCAUGCGGGAAAUGUCUGCUCGUUUGAGCUCAUCGAUAGGGAUGAGACAGUGUUCAAAGUCUCCAUUCUAAGAGGUGCUGGUAAUGACCUGAUUCAUGUUAAUGGAGAUGAGCAUCGGAAGUAUUACCUGAGGCCAUUGCAGCAUCGAAAUGAAAUCAGGGGUUCCUAAUGAUGCCUCCUUAUAUUAAGCAGCGCAGCAGCGAAUCAAUCAAAAGCACUAUUUUCUGCUUUUUGUUCUCCUUUCUUCCUUUUUGUGCUAGUUUCAAUUCUAUGACUACCUUGCUUGGAAAGAACCUCCCAAAUCAGUGAUCUCUAUGGUUUUGCACAGCGGCUCAACCUGACCAGUGGAUCUACAGGACAGUGAAGACAUAAUGCUCUGAUGUAUGUUCAUGGAGUAUUUCUCCUUUUAUAUGUUUUGUCCUUCAAAUAUUAUGGCUUGUCCUCGUCCUCUUCGUUCCCGGAGAGAAUACGAAGCUGUUGCCGAGCAGGAGACUCCUCCUCCUAGUAGUAGCCAUCACUUCUUCAGGAUCAUAUUCUUCGGGAUCGUACUCUCUGACAAGCUAAUUUGCCAGGUUACGAGUUUUGAUCAACACCCUUGAGAGGUUCCUGAAAGUCAUUGAUCUCAAUUAAGCAGCAAUCCAAAGCAUUUUCUUUUAGAAGUGACGUGUCAUUUAGUUUUCCAUACUAUUCAAAAUCAACUUUGGGAAAAAGCACAACACCGAAGCUUCAAUCUGGUCAGCAUGUAAGUAUUUCUAAUGUUCAAAUUAGUGGCGGAAAAUAUCACUAAGAAUUUUGUUUUACACUGACGGUAAAUGGUCUAUUUUUUAUUAUUUUUUCUUUGAUAGUACAAGAGACAAAAGCCUGAAAAGUAGAGUGGUUGGCAAUGGCGAAAAUUUUGCAUACAUGAUCUAAUUCUACAUGCCAUGAUCUAUAUGCCAAAAUAAAGCCUAGCAAUGCAACUCCGGAUUUUAUAAGGAUUUGCACAAGCAAUCAACCUACGUUCUCUUGGACUUUCAACUUUGAACUUGCAACUUUAAACUCCUUGCGAGAAUGGUGUUUGGUGCACUCCCGCAAAAUAAAAUCGAAAUGACAUUAUGUUGGAAAUUUAAGUAAGACCAAUCUGAACACAAUGGGGAUCAUCAUGGAUGGGUCAUAACAUGUACAUAUAUGAAUGUAACCUAUAAACAAUGAGGUGAAGGGCGAAUAAGAGACUAAAUAUAAAAAGAGUUGUUGAAAUAGCUUAUUAUCAUGAAAAUAGGUGAUAGUUGGAAAUGAAGAGAAAUGAUGGUUGAUCAUGAAAAGUGAUAAUAAUGGGGAUAAGGGACAUAUUCUCAAGAGAUGUAUUGAUUGGCUAUACGUAAAUACGACCAAAUCAUACAUUAUUCAAUAAUCCUGUUCAAGAAUAGUAGCCUUCUCUUCAUAUUAUUCCCUACUAUUAUUUUCUUUUUUCACCUACAAGUUUGAUAAUAUAUUUAAGGUGAAAUUUCAAGAGAGAAAUUGAGUAAUUCUUGAACUCAAUUUUUUUUUUAUAGCUUUACUGUAUAUAUUGGAGGUAUAUUUAUUUUAAAUCAGUAGCAACAAUAGGAGUAAAUAAUACCUUAAAGACAGUCAUUUUUAUCAUGCAUCAAAGGACUAAAUAAACUACUGAUCUAUCUUCAUUAGGGAAUGAAGUUCCCAACAAGAGCAUGAUGGGUGAAUGAAUGAAACUGUGUAAUGGAAACUGAGUUAACACAAAAGACUGAGGUUGGUGGGAAUUAAUUUAGAACAAAAGAACCUGAAUAUUCGGCCAACGAGUUAACAAAGGAUAAAUCGAAAACAAAAACCAAGGACAGGCAUGCUGGCUUUGUUUUGUCGUUGACAUACUAGGAAGGCAUGACGUUAGAUCACAAUGAAAUUAUAAGACACGAUCGGGGUAUUGUGGAAAAUCAAUCAUCUCAUACCUGGGACGACCAAAUGAUGGAAGGUUUUCCUUGAUGGCUUGCGGUUUCGCUCUUCUUGAAUCCACGAAAGAGAACAUGCUUCCGAUGCUCUCCUCAAAACUCUCUCUCUCUCAGUACGAGCAUAUGCUCGGAAGAGUUCUCAGGUUAUGGUGACUUGAGAGAGAUGACAAAUAUGAGAACGUAAGAGAACCCUUCUUCUAUGUCUAACGUACUUUGCUGAAAUUCUUGUCGUGACUUCCCCAGAGGUGAACCAUCGAGGAAAAGUUAAUUAAUUACUAAGCAAACAAGGGUCUCCCAAACCCAUAUUAGUCGCAACUUUGGGAUUUUAAUUUAAUCAAUUAAACAUGCAAAUCAAUUUAUUUUUCUACUAAUCUAUUAGGGGUAGAUUGGAAAUCCAAGUACAAUGUAGGAGAACAUUUCACUUAUGCGAAUGAGAGAUUUCAUGAAUAAGAGGGCUUAGCUGCGCUAGAUAAAUCUAACACCAUCUCAAUACUUUUCUCUUUAUUUCAAAAUGUUUGGUAAGUAGUCUUGAUCAAUUUAAUCCUAAAUCACUAAUCAUGAGGGUGUGCAAACACUAAUUUAGCACUCAAUAAAUUACAACAAGAAAUAAAUCACUAAAAUAUGAUAAAAAAAGACACCCGGACCCUGGAGUGCCAAAAGUUGACACAAUAGGGUGCGCAUGACAAAAUUUUUAAAACAUAAAUUGAUUUCUGGCCAGAAAUUGAUUUUCCAAUUUCUAUUUCAGAAAUUGAGAAGUUAAAAAUUUUAGCUUCUGAUUUAUUCUUCAAAUUUAUUUCUGGAAUAUAAAUCUGUUCCAAAAAUAGAAAAAUCAAAUUGCAUUACCAAACGAAUUUUUGUUCCAAACUUGUUUCGGGAAACAGAAAAACAGAGAAAUAGAGAAAUAGAGAAAUAGAUAUUUUAUCAUGUAGCCCUUAAGUGCCAAAAGUUACGAAAGUGACACUUAAUGCUAGAAUUAGAGCAAAAUGAAUCACUUAAGUCUUAUCGGCCAAAAUGCUAACGUGGCAAUUUUCUGGCGAGCUACACACUACACGCAAAAUGACGUUGUUUUGUAUGCUGAUGUGGCUAAAUAGUGGCAAAACGACGUCAUUUUGGUAUAAUUCGAAUUUUAAUAUAAUAAUUAAUUAAAUUAAAUUUUAAAAUAAAUAAAUAAAUAUUUUUUUUUAAAAGGAGGAGGGAGGCGGCCGAUGGCUGAGGGCUCAGCCCUCGCUGCCCUCGCUACCACCUCCCCUUCGUCGUUGAGGAGGUGGGGGAGUGUCGGUCAGGGCUACCAAGCCCAGGCCAAGGGUCGGCAACCUUAGCUAACCAGUAGCAAGGGCUUGUGUGCCCUUGCCUAGCCGACCUAAGGGCUGCCACCUGCUGAGGGGUCGCCCAGCCUCCUCUGCCUUUGCCAGGCCGAACCCUACCACCAGUGGUGACCACCGACCAAAGAGAUUUACUUGCGAGGAGUGCAAGAUGAGCGACACCGUGAACGAUUGAGUUGUCAGACAACCUUGACCACUAGAGAUGGGUGGCGGCAAGGCAGCGAUAGGCAAUGGAGGUGGCGGUGAAUCGGAUUUGUGGAGGGAAGGGCAGAGUAAAUCGUGGCAUUUUGAGGGUGCGUUUAUGUCUCGAUAAUAGCUACCGAGCUAGGUUCAUUUUUAAGGGAUUGAUAAAUGGAUUUUAAAUGGGUAGAGAUUAAACUCAUUUAACACUCACAUAUUUUAGUCUCUCUAUUUUAAAAAUUCAUUAUAGUUACUUUGAGAAAUAAAACUUGACCUAUUGAUGGCCAUUUAAGCAAGUAUGGGUGUACUCAUUUUGACACCUCUGCAUCCGCGUUACGAGAGGCUAGUGUCUGAUUAACACUUCCCAUGAAUCUUUGCCUUGAUCACCGAGCCAUCUGAUUUUGCCAGGACGAUGGCCUCUAGAACGAAGGCUCCGCGCUCCUGUAGUUGAAGUUGAAACCCCCCAAACCAUCUUCAUCUUCUUCUGCUGUAAGGCGUCAGGGGACACUGCUGUCUAUGGCUUCUCGCAACGGUCGUCGUCGUCGCCGGAGAGAAGAUGGAGCUGUCGAGCGGGAGGUCGCGACCGGUCCUCGUCUUGGGAGCCGUUGCUUCUUCAAGAUCAUACUCUCCAACGCCCUUGAAUCUGGAAAGCUUGUGAGUUGAUCACAUCUUCAUCAGUGUUUUAAGAGUUUCUCGCUCUCUGUGCUGUGUACCCGUCAACCUGAAAAAACUGGUUUAUGGGUUCGGUUUGGAAUGAACUUUUCGCUUCCAGUUUAAAAAAGAACAAGAGGGUAUUGUCUGACAUGGCCUGUUUAUCAAACAAAAUUUCUCCUUUUUGCAUGCUUCGAUGAUAUGAAUGUCUUCAUCGGAUGUGCGACCGGUUGUCCUGAACCGUGGUGAUGGUGGGCCUCAUGUCCUCUUGGCUGCUGCCAUUUCUUCUGCUAAAGUUUGCUUUUUUGUAUAUUUGUUUUACGAUUUGGGUCGAAAUGGGUUUUCGGAAUAUAGUGUAAUGUGCAUGGUUCAGGUUUCCACAACAUCCGUUGGACAUUGCUAUUGGGAGAGUAAUUUCUUGGAUACACAGAUUUAACUGACCAAAAAUGAUAUGACAAAGUAAUGGGCUUUUUCUAAUGUGCCUUGCUUCCUUGGGCGGCAAAAUUGUCGUGCGCGAUCUCAGUCGUGGGAGAAAAGAAAAUCCAUGUCAGCUGUUGUAUGACAAAACGUCUUGGCCAUGGGAUCAAGAUAAUUUUAUGUCAACUUUGGAUUUGGCACGGCAAUUUCACUAAUUUUAGUAUAAACGAAUUUUGGAUUCUUGAGCUUUAUGCUUGUCCAAUGAAGCAACUAGAACUACAAGUCAAUCCACGACUAUUCUGAAGUACAAUUGUGGAAACUGAUCAUUCAUCCAUGUUGCAGAAUUUAAAGUUUCUUAGUUUUCUUCCUAUUCUCUGCACUUCAAUUUGACUAUGUUGAGUUAUUACCAUGGACCUUUAACUUUAAUUUUUUACAUAAUAGGGAAUUCCAAAGAAUUUCAUAAGAAGAUGUGGAAAGGAUCUCUCAAGCUCGGUGCUUCUUAAGGUUCCAGGCGGUUCAGCCUGGACUAUAGAACUAGAAACGUGCAACAAUGACUUGGUUUCGUUGUGGAAAGGUUGGCGGGAAUUCAUGGAGCAUUACUCUAUUGGUCAUGGUCACCUCAUAGUUUUCAAAUAUAAAGGAAACUCCACUUUUCAUGUAAUAAUAUUCGAUAAGAGUGCUUCAGAGAUAGAUUAUUCAUCGAGCAGCAGCAAAAUAUUGUACUUUGGGAGUGAAUUUCCCUCACCAAAAUCAGAAGAUGUCCUAGAAGCAGAAGAUCUGCAGGAUUCCACACCCUGUCAAAGAAUGAGGGUUGAACCACAUUUACCUUAUUCUCAGCUAAGUCUGAGCUACCCACCACAAGGUUUGGAAGGUGUGACUCUUCAUUUUUUAAGUCACGUUUCUUCUUACAUCACUCUCUUUAGUUAGUUGUUUUCCAAAAAUACUAGAAAACUUUUUUAUUAAAGUUUUUUCCUAAGCCAGUUUUUCAUGGUCCUACACCUCUGAGGCCUCUCACUGCUCCUGAAUUAUCCAAUGAGUUUUAUUCAGAGAAUCCCUUCUUCAAACUGGUGAUAAAUCAGGGUGGAAAAAUGGUAAGAUCUCGAGUUUCAUCCACCGCUGGCAUAUCUCAAGUUCAAUUAGGAUUGCUAGCUAAAUCUUGCCUCAGAUUAGGAUUGCUUGCUAAAUCUUGCCUCAGUAUUGUGUUUUCCCAAGUUGAUUUGGUCUGUAACUGAUACAAUAUGACAUGUUAAUAAUGGGAAACAGGGAAAAAGAAGAAUUAUAAUGUCAGGACUGUCCAUUCACUUAGAUAUUCUGCAUAAGCUGCUCUAAUCACUAUCCAAGUGAAAGGAUGGACAGCACUUGAAUGGAAAACUGUCUGUUAAUGGACAUUCACUUUUGGAGAAUUCUUUAGAUUGCAGGUUAAGAUUGAUGAUGCUUUAGAUUGCAGGUUAAGAUCAUUAAAUUUUGUGAGCCUCUUAAAGUCAUUGACUGAAACUCCUGAAACUAGCAAAUAUCACCAUGAUUAUUCUUCUUGUGUGCUUUUUCCUUAAAAUUGUGUGCUGACUCGUUUGUACAAACAUGUACAUAUGUGCAGAAUAUUCCUGUUGGAUUUGCCAGGCGAUAUAUUCAAGCAGACAGGGAAAUGGCGACACUUAGGUUUUCAGACGGAUCGUGGCUGGUGAAGCUUUUAAGAAAUUUGCAGGAUCACCAGGCAUGCUUCUCUGCUGAUUGGACUGCAUUUGCAAGAGAAAACUGUCUGCUUGUAGGAGAUGUCUGCAUGUUUGAGCUCAUUGAUAGAGAUGACGUUGUGUUCCAAGUCUCCAUCUGCCGUAGUGCAGGUACAGACCCGAUUCACAUUGAUUGAGAUUAACAUCAAAACUGUUACUCUAGGCCAUACGCAGCGUCCAUAGGAAUUCAGGGUUCCUAAUUAUGCCUCUUCAUAUGGUAGUAGCUAGUCAAUGAAAAAUAGACUCACGUUUUUUUGUUUCCUUCGUCUGCUAAAGUCGAUUCUAUAAGACCCCAUUUGGAAAGAAUCUCUCAAAUUAGGGACUUCGGCAAGUUUUCUGGUGGCUCAAACCUGACCUUUAGAACGGUAAAGUGUAGUGACAUUGAACACCCUUGCCUUAAGCCAAUAAGGGAUAAGUGCAUUGGAAGUCUUAAAAGUUGUUAUGAAAGUGCUAUGAGUCACAAAACUUCAAAAACUGUAAUAAAGUCAUAAAACUUAUCACAAAAGUGUAAUUAAGUCCUAAAACUUUCAAAAAAAGUACAAUCAACGGAAGGACUUGAUUGGACUUGACAAGUUUUUGUAUUUGAUUGCACUUUUUAAAAAAAUUUAGGACUUAAUUGCACUUUUUUGACAAGUUUUAGGACUUAAUUGCAAUUUUUGAAAGUUUAAGGAAAUUGCACUUUGGUUACAAGUUGUAGGACUUUUAAUGCACUUAUCUCUAAGCCAUGUACCAACUCUGAAUUACAAGGUGCAACCCAUGGUUUUACAAGCUCAAUUUGAACUUAUCAGAUUCUUUUCAUUUCUCUAUUUGCAUACUUGAAGACUUUAUAGGAAGUUUAUUUGCCUAGGGGUGCAUGUUGAAGUUUAUUAGUUUCUUUUCAUGUGGAGAGCAUUUAGAAUUUAUUUCAUCAAACUACCUGAAUCUUGAUGUGCAUGACAGAACAUUUUUCCAAUCUAUACUAAAUCUUUUUGUAGUUAGUCAGUUAAAGAAAUCUUCACACGAAUGUCUGCUAAAUUCCUCAUUGUUUAACUGGGGAAAAAGGAUAUCUAUUCUCCUGCCUUACCACUCGACCAUGCUGCUAAGAUGAUAAGGUGUCAUUCGAAAUAGAUUUAAAAAGUUGCCCACUGUGGAGCAGAGUAGCUUUACUAUCUCUAUUUGAGUUGAUUCCUAUCCUUAGCAGUUUUGGAACUAAACGAAACCUGGUCUUCUCGAUAUGUAGCUUGUAUUGAUGCUGACCCCGAAGAACCAGAUGUGUCUCAAGCUCCGGCGGACUUGACAGAUAGGAUCCAACAGUCUACAUGCAGGGUGAGCCAUUUGGAGCUGGUUUUUCAUGGUCCUACACUUCCAAGGCCUCUUGCUCCUCCUGAAUCAGCCUGCAAAUUAGAUUUGGAACAUCCCUUUUUUAAAAUGGUGAUGCCCCGAUCUUAUUUGAAUUGCCUGGUAAGUCUUGAGCUUAAUUCAUCACCGGUAUAUCUAGAGUUCCAUUAUGAUUGCUAUCACCUACAAUGCCGUGAUCACAUUAGCUGUUGAUGUUUAUGAGAGUUUUUCUAUGUUUAUAGUGUUCAUGAUAUAAUCCAAUAGAUUAUUACAUCAAUAAUCAUUAGUAACACGUAUUAAAAAAGGAUGUGGGCUAGCGAUUUCUUUCAUCCUUGAGCACUUUCAAAAGGAUAAAUACAUCUGUGGAUUUCUUCGACGUCAAAUGGUUACCUUCUUGCUUUUUGCCCUCCAAUUUAUCCUUGGAUUUCUCAUUCCACUUGAACAAUUUCAUAUCUCGGUUGUUCAAACAUGUACAUGGCCAGAGUAUUCCGCUUGGAUUCAUCAAGCAACAUAUCCAGGAAAAGCCAAGAGCAACUCUUAGGUACUCAGACAGAUCAUGGUCAGUGAAGCUCAUCAGGAGCAACAGACACCUCAAAGGGGCUUCUGCUCUGUCCUUCUCUGCUGGUUGGCGUGCAUUUGCAAGAGAAACUCAUCUGCGUGCAGGAAAUGUCUGCUUGUUUGAGCUAAUUGAUCGGGUUGAUAUUGUCUUCAAAGUCUCCAUUUUGAGUGGUGCCAGUAAGGACUUGAUAUACGUUGUUGAAAAUGAGUACUUGAAGUGUAUGCCUCCCUUAUUUGGUUGUGCUGCAUAACUGACGAGUACACUUUCUUUUCUAUGUUAAUUUAAAAUAUAGUGAUUUGUCUCCCUUAUUUGGUUGUGCUGCAUAACUGACGAGUACACUUUCUUUUCUAUGUUAAUUUAAAAUAUAGUGAUUUGUCUCCCUUAUUUGGCUGUGCUGCAUAACUGACGAGUACACUUUCUUUUCUAUGUUAAUUUAAAAUAUAGUGAUUUGUCUCUUUCGAUGUGAAGAGCACGAAUAAUAUUUUCAUUCAAAUUGUCUGACUUUUUCAUUUCAUGGUAAUCAUAAUUUCCAAUCGAUUUAUAUAUCUUAUUAUCAUAGGUGGUCCUACACCUCCGAAGCCCUUCACUACUCCUGAAUUAGCCAGUGUGUUUGAGUCAGAGCAUCCCUUCUUCGAAGUGGUCAUACAGCAAUGGCAUCAGAAUAAAUUGGUAAGAACUCAAGCCUAAUCGACCGGUGGCAUAAUUCAAGUUCAAUUACAAUUGCUGUAAAUCAUGCCUUGAUAUUGUCUUUUCCCAAGUUGAUUUGGUUUGUGUUGGAAACUUAACGACGGAUUAUAUUUCUCAAGUGUCCAUGGGGAAUCCUAAUGAUGGAGUAACAUGGAACUAGGAAAAGAUGAAUAAGUAAAGACAGUAUUUGGGUUGGGACUGUAAUUGAAUAUUCCUCACAUGCCACUCUAUUCACUAUCCAAGUGAAAGGAUGGACAGGCACUUGAAUGGUAAACUAACUGAAAAUAGCUUUUAAUGGACAGUCCUUUCUUAAAUAUUGCUUUGGAUUGCAGGUUAAGAUCGGUGACUUUCAUAAACCCCUUAAGGCUGGUGAUUAAAACUCUUGAACUACAUCAUGUGCUUUUUUCCUUGUUUUUCACGUGAGUGUAUGUUUAUGUGAUGUCCUUUUAACAUACAGUGGUUUGUUCCCACAUGUAUGAAUGUGCAGUACGUUCCCCGUCAAUUUGCCAAGCAACACAUUCAAGAAAACAGGGAAAUGGCGACUCUUAGGUUUUCAGACAGAUUGUGGCUGGUGAAGCUCAAAAGCUAUUCGCAUGGAAGCCUGAUGUUCUUCUCUGCUGGUUGGCCUGCAUUUGCAAGAGAAACUCAUCUGUGUGUGGGAAAUAUCUGUGUGUUUGAGCUCAUUGAUAGGGAUGAUGUUGUAUUCCAAGUCUCUAUUUUCAGUAGUGCCGGUAAGGAUCCAAUUCACAUUGAUUGAGAUGAACAUAGGAUGGGUUACUUUAAGCCAUUUGCUGCAUUAAUAUGAAUUCAGCAUUUCCAAUUAGCCUCAAAAGUGGACUUUUUCAUGUUUCUGUUUUCUUCUUUUCUGCACUAGUCUCAAUUCGAUUUUCAUGAUGACAGUGAUUUUCAAUCUAUGCUGGAUCUUUUCAUAGCAAGUCAAUUAAAGAGACAUUCUCACCAAUUCUAUUCAAUUUCUCAUUGUUUUACUGCAGGUGGGAUAGAGAAAUCGACAUGCAGAGUGGGCUGUUCUGAGCUGGAUUUUCAUGGUCCUACACUAUCAAGGCCUCUCAGGUCUCCCGAAUUUGCUAGCAAUAUUGAUUCAGAGCAUCCCUUUUUAAAAAAGGUGACCCCGCAAAGUUAUUUCCAUGGCCUGGUAAGAUCUAAAGCUUAAAUCAUCACUCACGUAUCUCAUAUUCAUUUUUGACCGUUUUCAUGUAUUGGCUAUAAAAAACAUGCACAUGUGCAGAAUGUUCCAGUUGGAUUUUUCAAGCAACAUCUUCAGGAAAACAAACAAAUAGCGACUCUUCGGUAUUUGGACAGAUCGUGGCAAGUGAAGCUCAUUAGGAGCCUUGGACAGGCCAGAGGUACUCCAGCUCUGGUCUUCUCUGCUGGUUGGCGUGCGUUCGCAAGAGAAACUGAUCUGCGUGCAGGAAAUGUCUGCUUGUUUGAGCUCGUUGAUAGGGAUGAGACAGUGUUCAAAGUCUCCAUUCUGAGAGGUGCUGGUAAUGACCUGAUUCAUGUUAAUGGAGAUGAGCAUCGGAAGUAUUACCUGAGGCCAUUGCAGCAUCGAAAUGAAAUCAGGGGUUCCUAAUGAUGCCUCCUUAUAUUAAGCAGCGCAGCAGCGAAUCAAUCAAAAGCACUCUUUUCUGCUUUUUGUUCUCCUUUCUUCCUUUUUGUGCUAGUUUCAAUUCUAUGACCACCUUGCUUGGAAAGAACCUCCCAAAUCAGUGAAUCCUUAUGGUUUUGCACAGCGGCUCAACCUGACCAGUGGAUCUACAGGACAGUGAAGACAUAAUGCUCUGAUGUAUGUUCAUGGAGUAUUUCUCCUUUUAUAUGUUUUGUCCUUCAAAUAUUAUGGCUUGUCCUCGUCCUCUUCCUUCCCGGAGAGAAUACGAAGCUGUUGCCGA
rnacentral:lncRNA from 1 species